AUAGAAAACACAGUAUCGGGAAGCCAAAUACAAGGUUCAGGAGCACAAAUAGCAUCACAAAUACAUGGUGCAGGUCUCAGAAGCACAAAUACAAGGUUCAGGAGCAGAAAUACAAGGUUCAGGACCUUCAGGUGCCCAAAUAGCAGCAGAAAUACAAGGUUCAGUAGCAGCACAAAUACACAAAUACAAGGUUCAGGUUGAGUAGUUGUGUGCCAACAAGCUAGCACUAGCAAGUAGUAGUGUAGCAGCCCAUGGAUAAAUGUAAAUAACAGCAUGUAGUAGUGUAGCACGUCGGGUCGUCGGCCUUCUCGUCACAACCAACCAGCAACAACACCAUCAUACAGUCAUGUUUCAGGCUUCAGUUAGGAUGGAUUGAUCAUCAACCUCCUGAAACAUAAGAAAGUAAAAGCAUUCAAAGUAAAGAACAAGAUUUGCAUUAAAAUCUAAGAUUAAAAGGCAUGCUAAGUUGCUAAAAGUAGAAUCUGUUACCAUCAUUUCUGUGUCAUCCUUAAGAACAGUUUCAAAGUCCGCAAAGAGAGUAAAAUUGCAAUCCCCUGAUGCAUAGGUUUAGAUAUUAACAUAUAGCAAGGAAAUAAUAUUGUGUAUGGAAAGAAGAGUCAUGAUUCAACUAGAUUAUUACCUAACAUGUCUGCACGGGACCAAGCUUGCAUGCACAUAAGAGCUUCGGUCAUGUUUCGUGCAAGUGAACAUCUAUGUGCACUUAGUAUUCUCCCACUAGUACUGAAGGCAGAUUCCGAUGCCACAGUUAUUACAGGAAUGGCUAGUAUAUCAUGAGCCAUUCUUCGCAAUGUAGGAUACUUGAUACCUCCAAACUGCCACCAAUUGAUGAUGUCGAGACCCUCUGGCCUAUGGAUAAUUUCCUCUUCCAAAUAUAAGUCCAGUUCUGUCCGCACACGAGAAGCACUCGUAACAGGCUUUGAGGACAUAUAUUGUUUAAAAAUAUUCUCCAUUUCAUCCACUGCAGCCCCAUCUUGGGUAGAAACACUCCUACCUACCUGUGACUCCGAGGUACCCACACCACCAUCAGAUGCUUGAUAUUCUAGCAACAGAUCACCCAUUAACUUUCUAAUUUUCUCCACUUCUGCAGUUGCAUGUUCAAACCCAUAGAGAGAGACAAACAAAGCUUGCAACAUAUGAAGCUUAUAUCUUGGAUCAAGGACUAUUGCCACAGACAUAAGACCAUGGACUUCUUUCCAAUACUUCUCAAACUUUGUCUUCAUUUCCUCAGACAUCUUUUGCAAAGGAACAUGCUCACUAGUAGACCAUUUUCGUAUUGCUAGACGAAUAGAAGAUAUUUUGGGGAAGAACAGAUUUGCUAUAACAUAUUUAGUCCCUGAGAAUAGCUCGGUGAUCACACAAAAUAGCUAGUUCAACACAUCUCUCAGCUAUUCUACACUUCUACUGUUGUGAACCAAAUAAAAAGGCUGGGAACUGGGAGAAAGAAAUGAGAGUCACCUUGCAGAGACAAAGGAUGGCGGCGGUGCUGCUCCGGUGACGUGAAGCCUUGGAGGAAUACGAGAUGGAGACGACGGCGGUACUGCUUGCUGGAGACGGCGGCGGUCAAGCCUUGGAGGAAUAUGAGAUGGAGACGACGGCGGUAGUGCUUGCUGGAGACGGCGGCGGUGAAGCCUUGGAGGAAGAACGAGAUGGAGACGACGGCGGCAGUGCUUGCUGGAGACGGCAGCGGUGGUGCUUGGCAGGGGAUCUAGAAGCCGACGAGGAUGGAGGUGGCCUGCGGUGGGGAUCCCGCGUCCCGUGAGGAUGGAGGCGGCGGGGAUCCUGUGGCCCGUGAGGAUAGCGGUCCGGGGAUCCGGCAGCUUGCGGCGACAGGGAUGGGACGGUGGGCGGCAUACACGGUGAGUUGUCCAGGAAGCGACCAAAUGACGCUUCACUGCGUUGCAUCUCUAGAGACCAGGCGAAGGAGUUGCUGACCGGCAUACACGGUGGGGACUGUGGGGACCACUCGUCGUCGCGAACCCUCGUUGGCAAGGCAUUUCGCAGUGGAUUCUACUGGCCCACGGCACUAAACGACGCAGCCGAGCUGGUGAAGUCCUGUGAAGCCUGUCAGUUUCAUGCCAAGCAGAUCUAUCAGCCGGCUCAGGGCCUCUAGACCAUCCCACUCACAUGGCCGUUCGCGGUCUGGGGGCUGGAUAUCUUGGGCCCGUUCCCUAGAGCGCCUGGGGGCUACCGCUACCUCUACGUUGCCAUCAACAAGUUCACCAAGUGGGCGGAGGUGGAAGCCGACCGCACCAUCCCAGCUGGUUCCACUGUCAAAUUCAUCAAGGGUCUCAUGAGCCACUUCGGGGUCCCCAACCGCAUCAUCACCGACAACGGCUCGCAGUUAACUAGUAACCUCUUCAAAACAUACUGUGCUAACCUUGGAACGCAGAUCUGCUACGCUUCGGUGGCGCACCCCAGCAGCAAUGAUCAGGCCGAACGCGCCAACGCAGAGGUCCUGAGGGGCCUCAAGACCAGGACCUUCAAGAAGAAGCUCAAGGCCUGCGGCAGGGGCUGGCACGACGAGCUCCAGUCCGUGUUGUGGUCCAUCCGCACCACCGCCACCAAGCCGACGGGCGAGACCCCGUUCUUCCUUGUCUACGGAGCCGAAGCGGUCCUCCCUCACGAAGUCAAGCAUCGCUCCGCAUGGGUCCUGGCAUUUGAUGAAACGCAGCAGGAUGCCAUGCGGGGGAUGGACCUCGUGCUGGGGGAGGAACGUCGCCACGAAGCUGCACUGAGGGCGGCAAGGUACCAGCAGGCGCUGCGGCGAUACCACUGCCGCAACAUCCGCUCCAGGACACUCGAGGCGGGCGACCUCGUCCUGAGGCGAGUCCUCUCCAGGGAAGGGCUGCACAAGCUCUCACCUAUGUGGGAGGGCCCGUUCAAGGUUGUCCAUGUCUCCAGGCCUGGUGCCGCACGCCUGGAUGCGUAGGACGGGGUACCCAUCCAGAAUGCCUGGAACAUCCAGCACCUUCAGAAAUUCUACCCAUGAAGCAAGGCCCAGUGCCUGUGAAGAAAGGCCCAGUGCCUGUGAAGAAGGCCCGGUGCCUGUGAAGAAUCGCCGCCCGUGACACUCUCAUGUAAUAAUGAGUGGGGCUGUACACGCCCCGGAGUCUCAGGAGUGUCGCCCUCGGGCCUCGGGGGCUCCCUCCCACGUCCUAGUGGCAGCACUUAGCUCCGCGCUGGUGAGAAGACUUGAAGACUAGACUAGGUGCCGGACGCGUCUUUUCAUUUGCUUUCCGUAGUUGGCUCGCCUUCUUUUAAUCAAAGUUUGCUAAUGGUGUUCCUUGCUGAUUUGGUUCCGUCGCCUUUUGCCGCUAUUUCUGACUCUAGUUCACCUAUGUUCUCUCUCUCGCAUACCUCGAGAGGGGGCUCGGCAGGUGCCCUCGCGAGCGUUUUUCCUUCUCUCUGCCUUCCGUCUGCUUUCUCGCGAGGCACCCUCGUUCGAGCCCACAAGCUGGCGCAUCUCUCCUAAUCCGUGCCCCUUGGGUACCGCGAUAUGAAGCGCUGGGUGAAGGCUUGGGUGAACGAUAAGUCUCCUAGCGAGCAUCCUAACGGAUUUUCUGCAGUUCCCGAGCGACCACUAAGUCAAGACGGGCACGAGGAAACGAGUGCCUCGUCAAGAGGAGGCCAACCGGCGACUCCCAUGAUCACAUGUAAUGAUGGUUUUCCCUUGCAUGUCGCAGGGACUUGUCAAGUCGGGCAGUUGCCGAGGCAGCGUGGGGAAGCGGAGACGGCCACGUCCAAUCAACCGCCACGCGUCGACCGAGGCCGCAGGCUUUUGGGGCCCGCGGCGCUCCAUACUUGACCUUUGGCUUCGCCUCGAAGCCAAGCCCGAGCGCGCCUUGGGCCCGGGGGCUACUGUCGGUGUUCUAGGAAUGGGGGUCCCUAGACUUGCCUGCCUGCGGCCCACGGCGUGGCUCUGCGCGUGGGCCCGUAUGGCCCAUCUUCAUCAACAAGGCGUUCAAGACCCUCGCGAGGGGCCAAGCCUCGCAAGGCGGGCGACACGAGACCUCCUCAGGAGCGGCCUCACCAGGUUGGCUCGCGAGGAGCGGAGAGAUCAAGGCAGGGCAAACCUCGCGAGGUUCUCGUGAUGUGAGCCAUGAUGAUCAAGAUCAGGCGGGUGCCAGGCGGGCGCCAGCACGCGCAGUGUCCUUAUUUCCCCUUUGGUGCUAUGGAAGCAAACGCAGGUGCGGAGUACCGAGGCGUCAAGCAAAGGUUUCCAUAUCGGUGCAACGAGACCAAGACCAGCAGGACGACAAGACGGAGGUCACCAUGGAGCCCAAGGCGGCGUCACCACGAGAGCCUUUUGCAGGCGAAGACCGCUUUUGUCAGGAUAAGUUGUACUAGCUGUCCCCUUUCAAAUUGGCCGUUGUUGGCUCCCUUCCCGCUCAAUAUUUGGGAAGAGGACAAGGGCCUAUAUAAGUAGAACUAGCCACCACCGUAGGGGAUAACUGAUUCGGAGGCGCCUGAUCUUUAGCUGAUCCUUAGCCACACACCAAGCACAAGAACACCUCAACCUCAGGAGGCUGUUCUUCCCCUUGUACUGUUCAUCAUCAGCCCAAGAGGCAAUCCAACACCACCACACUGGAGUAGGGUAUUACACCACAACGGUGGCCAGAACCAGUAUAAACCUUGUGUCUCUUGUGUUGUGAUUUUGUUGAGUUCGUCCGCAAGAUCUUAGCAAGCUAGGGCGUGGAUCGGUAGGGGGAAAGAACUUCGCGCGCACCCCAUAGUUCGAACCUUAAGGGUUUUGCCGGAACCCGUGAUCCGACACAUAGGCAUGGGGUGAAUUUAUCAUGGAUUGCAACAAAUAAAUAUGAUCAAUCAAAGAGCAACUAUCAUAAUUAAAGUCUUUGUAAUCCAAAAGAGUGGGCACAUCGCUAGCUAAAGUUUUGACCUCUCCAAACCCACUUUCAUCAUUUUUCUCAACAAGAUUUUCACCCUCUGAAAUAUUGGGACGCCUUCUACCUAAAGUUGACUCUUCCUCAGUCCCUUUCUCAUCAAUAUUUUCCACAUCAUGAGCAAUUCUAUCAACACUUCUAGACAAAUCAUCAAUCUUACUCAAUUUUUCUUCUAUGAAAGUGUUGAAAAAAUUUAUGUGUUGAUAAAUUCUUUAAUAUUAUUCUCAAGAUCAGAGGUGUUCCUAUUAUUAUUAUAAGAUUGAUUUCCAUAGGAAUUACCAUAAUUAUUAGAGGAAUUACUAGGAAAAGGCCUAGGAUUAAAAUUACCUCUAUAAGCAUUGUUGUUGAAAUUAUUUCGAGAGAUAAAAUUCACAUGUAUGGCAUCACUAUUUUGCUCAAUCAAAGUAGACAAGGGCAUAUCAUUAAGAUCAAUAGGAGCACUUAUACUAGCAACCAAUUUCACAAGAGCAUCAACUUCUUCACUCAAAGAAAAAAUUUCUUCAACCGAAUUAACUUUUUGACUAGUAGGAGCCCUUUCGGUAGGCCAUUGCGGAUAAUUUGCCAUAAUAUUAUCAAGCAAUUUGGUGGCUUCACCCAAAGUAAUUUCCAUAAAAGUACCACCCGUGGCGGAAUCUAAAAGAUUACGAGAAACAAAAUUCAACCCCGCAUAAAAAUUUUGUAUGAUCAUCCAAAGAUUUGACCCAUGAGUUGGGCAAUUCCUUAGCAUCAUUUUCAUCCUUUCCCAAGUUUGUGCAACAUGCUCAUGUUCAAGUAGCUUGAAAUUCAUGAUCUGGGUUCUGAGGGAAAUAAUUUUUGCGGGAGGAAAAUACUUAGUGAUAAAAGCAUCUUUGCACUUAUUCGAAGAAUCGAUAUUGUUGCGAGGCAAAGAAGAGAAUCAAAUUUUUGCAGAAUCACGCAAACAAAACAGAAAUAAUUUCAUCUUGACCACAUCAUUGUCCAUAUCUUUUUUCUUUUGCAUAUCGCAUAAUUCCAUGAAGGUAUUAAUUAAGAUGGGAUGUGGCAUCCUCAUUAGGAGUACCAUAAAAUUGGUCUUUCAUAACAAGAUUCAGCAAAGCAGUAUUAAUAUCACAAGUCUUCGCACUAGUGGCGGGAGGAGCAAGCGGAGUGCCAAUAAAAUCAUUGUUGUUGGUAUUUUAGAAAUCACAUAACUUGGUGUUCUCUUGAGUCAUGAUGACCACACAACAAGAUUGCACUCAAAAACAGAUUCGGCAAGAAAAUGGCGAACUAGAAAAAGAGAGGCGAAUAAAACGGCAAAUUUUUGUGAAGUGGGGGAGAGGAAAAUGGAAAAUGAUGUAAAUUGCAAGGGGAUGAGAUUUGUGAUUAGGAACCUGGUAUAUGUUGAAGAUCCUCCCCGGCAACGGCACCAGAAAUGGUGCGUUGACGGGAAACUAUCUUGACUUGAUCCUCCCCAACAACGGCGCCAGAAAUUCCUUUUGAUGUCCCUUGAAGCUACGUCGGUAUUUCCCCAAAGAGGAAGGGAUGAUGCAGCACAGCGGCGGUAGGUAUUUCCCUCAGAUAUGAAACCAAGGUUAUCGAACCAGUAGGUGAACCAAGCAACACAACGUAAACAACACUUGCACACAAAUAACAACACCUCGCAACCCGACGUGUUAAAGGGGUUGUCAAUCCCUUCCGGGGUACGGCGCCUCAAGAUAGGCAAACGGACGUGAGGUAAAUUUGUAGUAGAUUGAUAGUUCGGAUGCGAACAAUAUAAAUAACGAUUAAUUGCAGCAAGGUAUUUUUGGGUUUUUGGAUUAAUAGAUCUGAAAAUAAAAUCAAAUGAAAAGUAGAUCGCAAAGGCAAAUAAUAUGAGAAAGAAGACCCGGGGGCCGUAGGUUUCACUAGUGGCUUCUCUCGAGAAAAAUAGCAAAUAGUGGGUGAACAAAUUACUGUUGGGCAAUUGAUAGAACUCCAAACAAUUAUGACGAUAUCCAGACAAUGAUCAUUACAUAGGCAUCACGUCCAAGAUUAGUAGACCGACUCCUGCCUACAUCUACUACUAUUACUCCACACAUCGACCGCUAUCCAGCAUGCAUCUAUUGUAUUAAGUUCAUGGAAAAACGGAGUAAUGCAAUAAGAACGAUGACAUGAUGUAGACAAGAUCUAUCUAUGUAGAGAUAGACCCCAUUGUUUUAUCCUUAGUAGCAACGAUACAUACGUGUCGGUUCCCUUUCUGUCACUGGGAUCAAGCACCGUAAGAUCGAACCCACUACCGGGCACCUCUUCCCAUUGCAAGAUAAAUAGAUCAAGUUGGCCAAACAAAACCCAAAUAUCGGAGAAGAAAUAUGAGGCUAUAAGAGAUCAUGCAUAAAAGAGAUCAAAGAAACUCAAAUACUUCCAUGGAUAUAAAAAGAUAGAUCUGAUCAUAAACUCAAAGUUCAUCGAUCCCAACAAACACACCGCAAAAGAGUUACAUCGUAUGGAUCUCCAAGAGACCAUUGUAUUGAGAAUCAAGAGAGAGAUGAAGCCAUCUAGCUACUAACUACGGACCCGAAUGUCUACAAAGAACUACUCACACAUUGUCGGAGAGGCACCAACGGAGGUGGUGAACCCCAUCCGAGAUGGUGUCUAGAUUGGAUCUGGUGGUUCUGGACUCUGCGGGGGCUGGAUGAAUAUUUCGUCGACUCCGCUAUGGUUCUGGUAUUUUUCGGGUAUUUAUAGAGCAAAGAAGCAGUCCGGGGGGCACCCGAGGUGGGCACAACCCACCAGGGCACGCCUGGGCCUCCUGGUGUGCCCUGGUGGGUUGUGCCCCCCUCGGGGCACCCCCAGGCGCAGCCAGGGCCCGUUGUGUUCCUUUUGGCCCAUAAAAAAUCUCCGUGAAGUUUCGUGGCAUUUGGACUCCGCCUGAUAUGGAUUUUCUGAGAUGUAAAAAACACGGAAAAAUAGGAACUGGCACUAUGUCAAUAGGUUAGUACCAAAAAUGAUAUAAAAUGGCUAUAAAAUAAUUAUAAAACAUCCAAGAUUGAUAUAAUAAUAGCAUGGACUAAUAAAAAUUUAUAGAUACGUUGGAGAUGUAUCAGUACACAUCAAUAACAUGUAUAUCAAAUAUACCUUUCACUUUACCAUCAUUCUUAUCCACCAAAUACUUGGGGCAGCUCUGCUUCCAGUGGCCAGUCCCUUUGAAGUAGAAGCACUCAGUCUCAGGCUUAGGUCUAGACUUGGGCUUCUUCACUUGAGCAGCAACUUGCUUGCCAUUCUUCUUGAAGUUCCCCUUCUUCCCUUUGCCCUUUUUCUUGAAACUAGUGGUCUUGUUAACCAUCAACACUUGAUGCUCCUUCUUGAUUUCUACCUCCGCAGCUUUUAGCAUCGUGAAGAGCUCGGGAAUUGUCUUAUCCAUCCCUUGCAUAUUAUAGUUCAUGAUGAAGCUUUUGUAGCUUGGUGGCAGUGAUUGAAGAACUCUGUCAAUGGCACUAUCAUCAGGAAGAUUAACUCCUAGUUGAGUCAAGUGGUUGUGGUACCCAGACAUUCUGAGUAUAUGUUCACUGACAGAACUAUUCUCCUCCAUUUUGCAGCUAUAGAACUUAUUGGAGUCUUCAUAUCUCUCAAUUCGGGCAUUUGCUUGAAAUAUUAACUUCAACUCCUGAAACAUCUCAUAUGCUCCAUGACGUUCAAAAUGUCGUCGAAGUCCCGAUUCUAAGCCGUAAAGCAUGGCACACUGAACUAUCGAGUAGUCAUCAGCUUUGCUCUGCCAGACGUUCAUAACAUCUGGUGUUGCUCCUGCAGCGGGCUUUGCACCUAGCGGUGCUUCCAAGACAUAAUUCUUCUGUGCAGCAAUGAGGAUAAUCCACAAGUUACGGACCCCGUCCGUGUAGUUGCUACCAUCAUCUUUCAACUUAGCUUUCUCUAGGAAUGCAUUAAAAUUCAAAGGAACAGUAGCACGGGCCAUUUAUCUACAACAACAUAAACAUGCAAAAUACUAUCAGGUACUAAGUUCAUGAUAAAUUAAAGUUCAAUUAAUCAUAUUACUUAAGAACUCCCACUUAGAUAGACAUCCCUCUAGUCAUCUUAAAUGAUUACGUGAUCCAUAUCAACUAAACCAUGUCCGAUCAUCACGUGAGAUGGAGUAGUUUUCAAUGGUGAACAUCACUAUGUUGAUCAUAUCUACUAUAUGAUUCACGCUCGACCUUUCAGUCUCAGUGUUCCAAGGCCAUAUCUGCAUAUGCUAGGCUCGGCAAGUUUAACCCAAGUAUUCCGCGUGUGCAAAACUAGCUUGCACCCGUUGUAUAUGAACGUAGAGCUUAUCACACCCGAUCAUCACGUGGUGUCUCGGCACGACGAACUGUAGCAAUGGUGCAUACUCAGGGAGAACACUUGUACCUUGAAAUUUAGUGAGAGAUCAUCUUAUAAUGCUACCGUUGUACUAAGAAAAAUAAGAUGCAUAAAGGAUAAACAUCACAUGCAAUCAAAAUAAGUGAUAUGAUAUGGCCAUCACCAUCUUGUGCCUUUGAUCUCCAUCUCCAAAGCACCGUCAUGAUCACCAUCGUCACUGGCUUGACACCUUGAUCUCCAUCGUAGCAUCGUUGUCAUCUUGCCAACUAUUGCUUCUACGACUAUCGCUGCUGCUUAGUGAUAAAGUAAAGCAAUUACAUGGCGAUUGCAUCUCAUACAAUAAAGCGACAACCAUAAGGCUCCUGCCAGUUGCCGAUAACUUUUACAAAACAUGAUCAUCUCAUACAACAAUUUAUAUAUCAUCACGUCUUGACCAUAUCACAUCACAACAAGCCCUGCAAAAACAAGUUAGACGUCCUCUACUUUGUUGUUGCAAGUUUUACGUGGCUGCUACGGGCUUCUAGCAAGAACCUUUCUUACCUACGCAUCAAAACCACAAUGAUUUUUCGUCAAGUGUGCUGUUUUAACCUUCAACAAUGACCGUGCGUAGUCAAACUCGAUUCAACUAAAGCUAGAGAAACAGACACCCGCUAGCCACCUGUGUGCAAAGCACGUCGGUAGAACCAGUCUCAUGGACGCGGUCAUGUAAUGUCGGUCCGGGCCGCUUCAUCCAACAAUACCGCCGAAUCAAAGUAAGACGUUGCUGGUAAGCAGUAUGACUAUUAUCGCCCACAACUCAUUGUGUUCUACUCAUGCAUAUAACAUCUACACAUAGACCUGGCUCGGAUGCCACUGUUGGGGAACGCAGUAUUUCAAAAAAAAUACCUACGAUCACGCAAGAUUUAUCUAGGAGAUGCAUAGCAACGAGCGGGAGAGUGUGUCCACGUACCCUCGUAGACCGAAAGCGGAAGCGUUUAGUAACGCGGUUGAUGUAGUUGAACGUCUUCGCGAUCCAACCGAUCCAAGUACCGAACGUACGGCACCUCUGCGUUCAGCACAUGUUCAGCUCGAUGACGUCCCUCAACUCUUGAUCCAGUUGAGGCCGAGGGAGAAUUCCGUUAGCACGACGGCGUGGCGAUGGUGAUGAUGAAGUUACCGGCGCAGGGCUUCGCCUAAGCACUACAACGAUAUAACCGAGGUGUGUAACUGUGGAGGGGGGCACCGCACACGGCUAAGAGAAGACUUGGUGUGCCUUUGGGGUGCCCCCUCCACGUAUAUAAAGGGGGGAGGAGAGGUGGCCGGCCCAAGGGGGCGCGCCAUGGGGGGAGUCCUACUUGGACUCCCGGUCCAAGUAGGAUUCGGCCCCCUUUUCCUAUUCCCACUAGGAGAAGGAGGGAAGGAGGAGGAAGAGAGAAGGAAAGGGGGCCGCCCCCCAACCCUAGUCCAAUUCGGAUUGGGCUUGGGGGGCGCGCGCCAGCACCUGGCCGCCGCCUCCUCUCUCCUCUAGGACCCAUGAAGGCCCAUUAACUCCCCGGGGGGUUCCGGUAACCCCCGGUACUCCGGAAAAUGCCCGAACCUUUCCGAAACCAUUCCGGUGUCCAAACAUAACCUUCCAAUAUAUCAAUCUUUAUGUCUCGAACAUUUCGAGACUCCUCGUCGUGUCCGUGAUCACAUCCGGGACUCCGAACAAACUUCGGUUCAUCAAAACACAUAACUCGUAAUACAAAUCGUCAUCGAACGUUAAGCGUGCGGACCCUACGGGUUCGAGAACUAUGUAGACAUGACCGAGACACAUCUCCGGUCAAUAACCAAUAGCGGAACCUGGAUGAUCAUAUUGUUUCCUACAUAUUCUACGAAGAUCUUUAUCGGUCAAACCGCACAACAACAUACGUUGUUCCCUUUGUCAUUGAUAUGUUACUUGCCCGAGAUUCGAUCGUCGGUAUCAUCAUACCUAGUUCAAUCUCGUUACCGGCAAGUCUCUUUACUCGUUCCGUAAUGUAUCAUCCUGUGACUAACUCAUUAGUCACAUUGCUUGCAAGGCUUAUAGUGAUGAGCAUUACCGAGAGGGCCCAGAGAUACCUGUCCGAUACACAGAGUGACAAAUCCUAAUCUUGAUCUAUGCCAACUCAUCAAACACCAUCAGAGACACCUGUAGAGCAUCUUUAUAAUCACCCAGUUACAUUGUGACGUUUGAUAGCACACAAGGUGUUCCUCCGGUAUUCGGGAGUUGCAUAAUCUCAUAGUCAGAGGAACAUGUAUAAGUCAUGAAGAAAGCAAUAGCAGAAAAACUAAAUGAACAUUAUGCUAAGCUAACUGAUGGGUCUUGUCCAUCACAUCAUUCUCUAAUGAUGUGAUCCCGUUCAUCAAAUGACAACACAUUUCUAUGGCUAGGAAACUUAACCAUCUUUGAUUAACGAGCUAGUUAAGUAGAGGCAUACUAGGGACACUCUGUUUAUCUAUGUAUCCACACAUGUACUAAGUUUCCGGUUAAUACAAUUCUAGCAUGAAUAAUAAACAUUUAUCAUGAUAAAAGGAAAUAUAAAUAACAACUUUAUUAUUGCCUCUAGGGCAUAUUUCCUUCACACACGACAUGCCCCCUACCCUAGGUGUUGGGGAACGUAGUAAUUUCAAAAUUUUCCUACGCACACGCAAGAUCAUGGUGAUGCAUAGCAACGAGAGGGGAGAGUGUUGUCUACGUACCCUCAUAGACCGUAAGCGGAAGCGUUAUAUCAACGCGGUUGAUGUAGUCGUACGUCUUCACGAUCCGACCGAUCCAAGUACCGAAAGUACGGCACCUCCGAGUUCUGCACACAUUCGGCUCGGUGACAUCCUCGCCUUCUCGAUCCAGCAAGAGGGGCGAAGUAGUAGAUGAGUUCCGGCAGCACGACGGCGUGGUGACGGUGUUGGUGAAGAACAAUCUUCGCAGGGCUUCGCCUAAGCACUACGAAAACUAUGACGGAGGAUAAACUAGAGGAGACGGGGUUGCCGGCACACGGCUUGGUGUUUCUUGAUCUGUCUUGGGUGCUAGCCCUACCCCUCUAUUUAUAUGUUGAGCCUUGGGGUCGAAACUUGGAGUAAAAGCCUCCACAAAGUCAGUUUCACCCGAAAGGCAAGAGUCCUUCUUCGACUCCAGGGCCAGAUGCCAGGGUUCCCGGCGUCUGGACCCAGACGCGAGGGACCCUGGCAUCUGGCCCCUGGACUCCGCAAAACUUCCUUUUGUGCUUUCCAAAAACCCUGUGGGCUUUCCCCUUUGGCCCAAAUAAAGUGUUCUCGUACCCAAACAUUUCGGGAAACAUCCGGAACCCCUUCCGAUGGAUUCCGGAACCUUUCUGGAGAUCAAACACUACUAUCCACAUAUCAAUCUUUACUUCCGGACCAUUCCGGAGUUCCUCGUCAUAUCCGUGAUCUCAUCCAAAACUCCGAACAACAUUCGGUCACCAACAUACAUAACUCAUAGUACUAUAUCGUCAACAAACGUUAAGCGUGCGGACCCUACGGGUUCAAGAACUAUGUAGACAUGACCGAGACACCUCUCUUGUCAAUAACCAAUAGCGAGACCUGGAUGCCCAUAUUGGCUCCUACAUAUUCUACGAAGAUCUUUAUCGGUUAGACCGCAUAACAACAUAUGUUGUUCCCUUUGUCAUCGCUAUGUUACUUGCCCGAGAUUCGAUCGUCGGUAUCUCAAUACCUAGUUCAAUCUCGUUACCGGCAAGUCUCUUUACUCGUUCUGUAAUACAUCAUCCCGCAACUAACUCAUUAGUUGCAAUUCUUGCAAGGCUUAUAGUGAUGUGCAUUACCGAGUGGGCCCAGAGAUACCUCUCCGACAAUCGGAGUGACAAAUCCUAAUCUCGAAAUAUGCCAACCCAACAAGUACCUUCGGAGACACCUGUAGAGCACCUUUAUAAUCACCCAGUUACGUUGUGACGUUUGGUAGCACACAAAGUGUUCCUCCGGUAAACGGGAGUUGCAUAAUCUCAUAGUCAUAGGAACAUGUAUAAGUCAUGAAGAAAGCAAUAGCAACAUACUAAACGAUCAAGUGCUAAGCUAACCGAAUGGGUCAAGUCAAUCACAUCAUUCUCCUAAUGAUGUGAUCCCGUUAAUCAAAUAACAACUCAUGUCUAUGGCUAGGAAACAUAACCAUCUUUGAUCAACGAGCUAGUCAAGUAGAGGCAUACUAGUGACACUCUGUUUGUCUAUGUAUUCACACAAGUAUUAUGUUUCCGGUUAAUACAAUUCUAGCAUCAAUAAUAAACAUUUAUCAUGAUAUAAGGAAAUAAAUAAUAACUUUAUUAUUACCUCUAGGGCAUAUUUCCUUCAGUCUCCCACUUCCACUAGAGUCAAUAAUCUAGUUCACAUCGCCAUGUGAUUUAACACCAAUAUUUCACAUCACCAUGUGAUUAACACCCAUAGUUCACGUCGUCAUGUGACCAACACCCAAGGGUUUACUAGAGUCAAUAAUCUAGUUCACAUCGCUAUGUGAUUAACACCCAAAGAGUACUAAGGUGUGAUCAUGUUUUGCUUGUGAGAGAAAUUUAGUCAAUGGGUCAGCAACAUUCAGAUUCGUAUGUAUUUUGCAAAUUUCCAUGUUAACAAUGCUCUGCACGGAGCUACUCUAGCUAAUUGCUCCCACUUUCAAUAUGUAUCCAGAUUGAGACUUAGAGUUAUCUGGAUCAGUGUCAAAACUUGAAUCAACGUAAACCUUUACGACGAAUCUUUUGUCACCUCCAUAAUCGAGAGAACAUAUCCUUAUUCCACUAAGGAUAAUUUUGACCGUUGUCUAGUGAUCUACUCCUAGAUCACUAUUGUACUCCAUUGCUAACUCAGCGUAGGGUAUACAAUAGAUCUGGUACACAACAUGGCAUACUUUAUAGAACCUAUGGCUGAGGCAUAGGGAAUGACUUUCAUUCUCUUUCUAUCUUCUGUCGUGGUCGGGCUUUGAGUCUUACUCAAUUUCACACCUUGUAACACAGGCAAGAACUCUUUCUUUGACUGUUCCAUUUUGAACUACUUCAAAUCUUGUCAAGGUAUGUACUCAUUGAAAAAACUUAUCAAGCGUCUUGAUCUAUCUCUAUAGAUCUUGAUGCUCAAUAUGUAAGCAGCUUCACCGAGGUCUUUCUUUGAAAAAACUCCUUUUAAAUAUUCCUUUAUGCUUUCCAGAAAAUUCUACAUUAUUUUCGAUCAACAAUAUGUCAUUCACAUAUAUUUAUCAGAAAUGUUGUAGUGCUCCCCCUCACUCUCUUGUAAAUACAGGCUUCACCGCAAGUCUGUAUAAAACUAUAUGCUUUGAUCAACUCAUCAAAGCGUAUAUUCCAACUCCGAUAUGCUUGCACCAGUCCAUAGAUGGAUCGCUGGAGCUUGCACAUUUUGUUAGCAUCUUUAGGAUCGAAAAAACCUUCUGGUUGAAUCAUAUACAACUCUUCUUUAAGAAAUCCAUUAAGGAAUGCGGUUUUGUUUAUCCAUUUGCCAGAUUUCAUAAAAUGCAGCAAUUGCUAACAUGAUUCGGACAGACUUAAGCAUCGCUACGAGUGAGAAAAACUCAUCGUAGUCAACACCUUGAACUUGUCGAAAACCUUUUGCGACAAUUUGAGCUUUGUAGAUAGUAACACUACUAUCAGCGUCCGUCUUCCUCUUGAAGAUCCAUUUUAUUCACUAUGCCUUGCCGAUCAACAGGAAAGUCAACCAAAGUCCACACUUUGUUCUCAUACAUGGAUCCCAUCUCAGAUUUCAUGGCCUCAAGCCAUUUUUGCGGAAUCUGGGCUCAUCAUCGCUUCCUCAUAGUUCGUAGGUUCGUCAUGGUCAAGUAACAUGAUCUCCAGAAUAGGAUUACCGUACCACUCUGGUGCGGAUCUCACUCAGGUUGACCUACAAGGUUCGGUACUAACUUGAUCUGAAGUUACAUGAUCAUCAUCAUUAACUUCCUCACUAAUUGGUGUAGGCGUCACUGGAACAUAUUUCUGUGAUGAACUACUUUCCAAUAAGGGAGCAGAUAUAGUUACCUCAUCAAGUUCUACUUUCCUCCCACUCACUUCUUUGGAGAGAAACUCUUUCUAUAGAAAGGAUCCAUUCUUAGCAACGAAUGUCUUGCCUUCGGAUCUGUGAUAGAAGGUGUACCCAACAGUCUCCUUUGGGUAUCCUAUGAAGACACAUUUUUCCGAUUUGGGUUUGAGCUUAUCAGGAUGAAACUUUUUCACAUAAGCAUCGCAACCCCAAACUUUAAGAAACGACAACUUUGGUUUCUUGCCAAACCACAGUUCAUAUGGUGUCGUCUCAACGGAUUUAGAUGGUGCCCUAUUUAAUGUGAAUGCAGCUGUCUCUAAUGCAUAACCCCAAAAUGAUAGUGGUCAAUCGGUAAGAGACAUCAUAGAUUGCACCAUAUCUAAUAAAGUACGGUUAUGACGUUCGGACACACCAUUAUGCUGUGAUGUUCCAGGUGGCAUGAGUUUGUAAAACUAGUUCACAUUGUUUUAAUUGAAGACCAAACUCAUAACUCAAAUAUUCGUCUCUGUGAUCAGAUCGUAGAAACUUUAUUUUCUUGUUACGAUGAUUCUCCACUUCACUUUGAAAUUCUUUGAACUUUUCAAAUGUUUCAGACUUGUGCUUCAUUAAGUAUAGAUACUCAUAUCUGCUCAAAUCAUCUGUGAAGGUCAGAAAAUAACGAUACCCGUCACGAGCAUCAACACUUAUUGGACCGCAUACAUCGGUAUGUAUUAUUUCCAACAAGUCAGUAGCUCGUUCCAUUGUUCCGAAGAACGGAGUUUUAGUCAUCUUGCCCAAAAGGCACGGUUCGCAAGCAUCAAAUGAUUCAUAACCAAGUGAUUCCAAAAGUCCAUCUUUAUGGAGUUUCUUCAUGCGCUUUACACCAAUAUGACCUAAACGGCAGUGCCACAAAUAAGUUGCACUAUCAUUAUUAACUUUGCAUCCUUUGGCUUCAAUAUUAUGAAUAUGUGUAUCACUACUAUCGAGAUCCAAUGAACCAUUUUCAUUGGGUGUGUAACCAUAUAAGGUUUUAUUCAUGUAAACAGAACAACAAUUAUUCUCUAACUUAAAUGAAUAACCGUAUUGCAAUAAACAUGAUCAAAUCAUAUUCAUGAUCAACGCAAACACCAAAUAACACUUGUUUAGGUUCAACACUAAUCCCGAAAGUAUAGGGAGUGUGCGAUGAUGAUCAUAUCAAUCUUGGAACUAUUUCCAACACACAUCGUCACCCCGCCCUUAACUAGUUUCUGUUCAUUCUGCAACUCCUGUUUCGAGUUACUACUCUUAGCAACUGAACCAGUAUCAAAUGCCGAUGGGUUGCUAUAAACACUAGUAAAGUACACAUCAAUAACAUGUAUAUCCAAUAUAACUUUGUUCACUUUGCCAUCCUUCUUAUCCGUCAAGUAUCUAGGGUAGUUCCACUUCCAGUGACCAGUCCCUUUGCAGUAUAAGCACUCAGUCUCAGGCUUAGGUCCAAACUUGGGCUUCUUCACUUGAGCAGCAACUUGCUUGCCAUUCUUCUUGAAGUUCCCCUUCUUUCCUUUACCCUUUUCCUUGAAACUAGUGGUCUUGUUAACCAUCAAAACUUGAUGCUCUUUCUUGAUUUCUACCUUCGCCGAUUUCAGCAUCGCGAAGAGCUCGGGAAUUACUUUCGUCAUCCCUUGCAUAUUAUAGUUCAUCACGAAGUUCUAUUAACUUGGUGAUAGUGACUAGAGAACUUUUUCAAUUACUAUCUUAUCUGGAAGAUUAACUCCCACUUGAUUCAAGUAAUUGUAGUACUCAAACAAUCUCAGCACAUGCUCACUAGUUGAGCUAUUCUCCUCCAUCUUAUAGGCAAAGUUUUGUCAGAGGUCUCAUACCUCUCGACAUGGGCAUGAGUAAUACCUCUCGACAUGGGCAUGAGUAUGAAAUACCAAUUUCAACUCUUGGAACAUCUCAUAUGCUCCAUGUCGUUCAAAAACAUUUUUGAAGCCCUGAUUCUUAGCCGUAAAGCAUGGUGCACUAAACUAUCAAGUAGUCAUCAUACCGAGCUUUGCUAAACGUUCAUAACGUCUGCAUAUGCUCCUGCAAUAGGUCCGUCACCUAGCGGUGCAUCAAGGACAUAAUUCUUCUAUGCAGCAAUGAGGAUAAUCCUCAGAUCACGAACCAAGUCCGCAUCAUUGCUACUAACAUCUUUCAACAUAGUUUUUCUCUAGGAACAUAUCAAAAUAAACGGGGAGCAACAUCGCGAGCUAUUGAUCUACAACAUAGAUAUGCUAAUACUACCAGGACUAAGUUCAUGAUAAAUUAUAGUUCAAUUAAUCAUAUUACUUAAGAACUCCCACUUAGAUAGACAUCCCUCUAAUCAUCUAAGUGAUCACGUGAUCCAUAUCAACUAAACCAUGUCCGGUCAUCACGUGAGAUGGAGUAGUUUUCAAUGGUGAACAUCACUAUGUUGAUCAUAUCUACUAUAUGAUUCACGCUCGACCUUUCGGUCUCAGUGUUCCGAGGCCAUAUCUGCAUAUGCUAGGCUCGUCAAGUUUAACCUGAGCAUUCCGUGUGUGCAACUGUUUUGCACCCGUUGUAUUUGAACAUAGAGCCUAUCACACCCGAUCAUCACGUGGUGUCUCAGCACGAAGAACUUUUGCAACGGUGCAUACUCAGGGAGAACACUUAUACCAUGAAAUUUAGUGAGAGAUCAUCUUAUAAUGCUACCGUCAAUCAAAGCAAGAUAAGAUGCAUAAAAGAUAAACAUCACAUGCAAUCAAUAUAAGUGAUAUGAUAUGGCCAUCAUCAUCUUGUGCUUGUGAUCUCCAUCUCCGAAGCACCAUCAUGAUCACCAUCGUCACCGGCGCGACACCUUGAUCUCCAUCGUAGCAUCGUUGUUGUCUCGCCAAUCUUAUGCUUCUACGACUAUCGCUAACUCUUAGUGAUAAAGUAAAGCAUUACAGGGCGAUUGCAUUGCAUACAAUAAAGCGACAACCAUAUGGCUCCUGCCAGUUGCCGAUAACUCGGUUACAAAACAUGAUCAUCUCAUACAAUAAAAUAUAGCAUCAUGUCUUGACCAUAUCACAUCACAACAUGCCCUGCAAAAACAAGUUAGACGUCCUCUACUUCGUUGUUGCAAGUUUUACGUGGCUGCUACGGGCUGAGCAAGAACCGUUCUUACCUACGCAUCAAAACCACAACGAUAGUUCGUCAAGUUAGUGUUGUUUUAACCUUCUCAAGGACCGGGCGUAGCCACACUCGGUUCAACAAAAGUUGGAGAAACUGACACCCGCCAGCCACCUGUGUGCAAAGCACGUCGGUAGAACCAGUCUCGCGUAAGCGUACACGUAAUGUCGGUCCGGCCGCUUCAUCCAAUAAUACAGCCGAACCAAAGUAUGACAUGCUGGUAAGCAGUAUGACUUGUAUCGCCCACAACUCACUUCUGUUCUACUCGUGCAUAUAACAUCUACGCAUAAAACCUGGCUCGGAUGCCACUGUUGGGGAACGUAGUAAUUUCAAAAAUUUCCUACACACACGCAAGAUCAUGGUGAUGCAUAGCAACGAGAGGGGAGAGUGGUGUCUACGUACCCUCGUAGACCGUAAGCGGAAGCGUUAUAUCAACGCGGUUGAUGUAGUCGUACGUCUUCACGAUCCGACCGAUCCAAGUACCGAAAGCACGGCACCUCCGAGUUCUGCACACGUUCGGCUCGGUGACGUCCUCGCCUUCUCGAUCCAGCAAGAGGGGCGAAGUAGUAGAUGAGUUCCGGCAGCACGACGGCAUGGUGACGGUGUUGGUGAAGAACAAUCUUCGCAGGGCUUCGCCUAAGCACUACGAAAACUAUGACGGAGGAUAAACUAGAGGAGACGGGGUUGCCGGCACACGGCUUGGUGUUUCUUGAUCUGUCUUGGGUGCUAGCCCUACCCCUCUAUUUAUAUGUUGAGCCUUGGGGUCGAAACUUGGAGUAAAAGCCUCCACAAAGUCGGUUUCACCCGAAAGGCAAGAGUCCUUCUCGGACUCCAGGGCCANNNNNNNNNNNNNNNNNNNNNNNNNNNNNNNNNNNNNNNNNNNNNNNNNNNNNNNNNNNNNNNNNNNNNNNNNNNNNNNNNNNNNNNNNNNNNNNNNNNNNNNNNNNNNNNNNNNNNNNNNNNNNNNNNNNNNNNNNNNNNNNNNNNNNNNNNNNNNNNNNNNNNNNNNNNNNNNNNNNNNNNNNNNNNNNNNNNNNNNNNNNNNNNNNNNNNNNNNNNNNNNNNNNNNNNNNNNNNNNNNNNNNNNNNNNNNNNNNNNNNNNNNNNNNNNNNNNNNNNNNNNNNNNNNNNNNNNNNNNNNNNNNNNNNNNNNNNNNNNNNNNNNNNNNNNNNNNNNNNNNNNNNNNNNNNNNNNNNNNNNNNNNNNNNNNNNNNCGCAAAACUUCCUUUUGCGCUUUCCAAAAGCCUUGUGGGCUUUCCCCUUUGGCCCAAAUAAAGUGUUCUCAUACCCAAACAUUUCGGGAAACAUCCGGAACCCCUUCCGAUGGAUUCCGGAACCUUUCCGGAGAUCAAACACUACUAUCCACAUAUCAAUCUUUACUUCCGGACCAUUCCAGAGUUCCUCGUCAUAUCCGUGAUCUCAUCCAAAACUCCGAACAACAUUCGGUCACCAACAUACAUAACUCAUAGUACUAUAUCGUCAACGAACGUUAAGCGUGCGGACCCUACGGGUUCGAGAACUAUGUAGACAUGACCGAGACACCUCUCUUGUCAAUAACCAAUAGCGGGACCUAGAUGCCCAUAUUGGCUCCUACAUAUUCUACGAAGAUCUUUAUCGGUCAGACCGCAUAACAACAUACGUUGUUCCCUUUGUCAUCGGUAUGUUACUUGCCCGAGAUUCGAUCGUCGGUAUCUCAAUACCUAGUUCAAUCUCGUUACCGGCAAGUCUCUUUACUCGUUCUGUAAUACCUCAUCCCGCAACUAACUCAUUAGUUGCAAUGCUUGCAAGGCUUAUAGUGAUGUGCAUUACCGAGUGGGCCCAGAGAUACCUCUCCGACAAUCGGAGUGACAAAUCUUAAUCUCGAAAUACGCCAACCCAACAAGUACCUUCGGAGACACCUGUAGAGCACCUUUAUAAUCACCUAGUUAUGUUGUGACGUUUGGUAGCACACAAAGUGUUCCUCCGGUAAACGGGAGUUGCAUAAUCUCAUAGUCAUAGGAACAUGUAUAAGUCAUGAAGAAAGCAAUAGCAACAUACUAAACGAUCAAGUGCUAAGCUAACCGAAUGGGUCAAGUCAAUCACAUCAUUCUCCUAAUGAUGUGAUCCCGUUAAUCAAAUAACAACUCAUGUCUAUGGCUAGGAAACAUAACCAUCUUUGAUCAACGAGCUAGUCAAGUAGAGGCAUACUAGUGACACUCUGUUUAUCUAUGUAUUCACACAAGUAUUAUGUUUCCGGUUAAUACAAUUCUAGCAUGAAUAAUAAACAUUUAUCAUGAUAUAAGGAAAUAAAUAAUAACUUUAUUAUUACCUCUAGGGCAUAUUUCCUUCACUAGGGCGCGCCGGGCAGGCUUGUGGCUACCCCGUAAGUCAGUUGUGGGUGUCCUUCUGUCAUAAGGAAGCUAAUAUCUGGAUAAAAAUCCCAUCAAAAUUUUAGCCCAAUCGGAGUUACGAAUCUCCGGGAAUAUAAGAAACGGUGAAGGGCCAGAAAACAGGAACGCGAAACAGAAGAAAAAAAUACACACACACACAGAGAGAGAGAGAGAGAGGAGGGGGGCUCUCUCCCCCUCUCCUAUCUCUCUCUCUAUCGAUUAUGGUUGGGUUUUAAUUUACCUUAGUUAUCUUUAGUAGUUGCGAAUGCUUGUGUGAGUGCUAGCUAGCUACCUGCCCACCGCCGCUGGCCGCCAUGUGCGAGGGCUCUGCAGCCGCUUGUGCUAGCUAGCUAGUCGUGCCUGUGCAUGCUAGCUAGCCAGCCGGUUAGGGGCUGAGCCAGGAUUUGAGCAUAGGGGGGCCAAGAGACGAUGACCAAAAAAAUAGUUAACAUCGUAGAUAUAUUCAAUGCUUUUGAUAUACACUGGUGCGCGUCGGUGCUAUAUAAACGGUUUUUAACCCCUUUCUGCGAUGGCAUUUGGAACUGUCGCCAAGUGAGUGUGGGCGAUAGGGGGGUCCUUCCCACACGACCCAGAAACCGUCGGGGAUAGGGAGCCUUGAUGCAUACAGUUGUCCCUAUAUAACUGUUUCCGAUAUCUUGAAUAUCCCAAACGCUUCAUCCUUGCUACUCGUGUGUGCUUGCAUUGCCAUCGCAGUCGGAGUUUUGUGGUUUUACCUAAAACCAGGCAGAUUCCAGGAACGGGAGCUUUCCAGGAAGAUUCCAAGCACGGGAGUUUAAUAAUGCUUGGCACAUCACAAACAAUUCAGGAUUAUAAACCGUGUACGAUAGGUAGACAAUCACACACAUUUAGUUUUCCCGCACCGUAUGUGAUAGUGUCUGACAUCACACAUGCUUUGCAAACGACAACUGUGUGCAUGCUUGCACACGUUUCCUCUCUGUGAACCGUCUCGGAUUAUGGAGUAUAUCACAAACGUUUGUGUUUUACCAACCGUGUGUGCCGUAAUGACCUGCACAACGUAAUUUCGCCCUAAUUUAAUUGCUGUUAUUUAAAAUUGUACCUAAUUUAAACUUGAAAGUAGGCUAUAGCUUUAUUCAUAUCCAUCAGGUUCAAACAACCAAUGCAUUAUUCGAUUCACAGGUACAUAUGUUUAAGAAUUACAUAAGCACCAAAUAAAGAAUGAUGAACCAGGGUUCUAUACUUGUACUAUUACAGAUGGUAAAGAAAGAGGCGACAGACAUUCCGGUUGCUGAACAAGGUGAAGCGGACGGCCCUAUUGUGCUCUCCUGGAUGCAGAAGGCAUGUAGGACUCUAGUCCAACCCUUGUGAUGGUCGGACGCUAAUCAUGUAGUUUGAGAGGUAAUCUUGAGCAAACUGCUUCAGGAUCCACUGCAAAAGAAAAAAGAUUCAGAUAUUGUCAUCUAACACAACUCAUUACGGGCAGUAAAAAGAAGGCUACAUGGUUCUUACUUACCAUCCUGCAGUUCACUGUUGUCUUGCAUAAAGUGUAAACAAAUAGUUCGAUUGACAUCUUUUGACCCAGUUUAAUAACAAUCUUUAUCAGUUUCCUCACUUGAUGCUGGUUCAUGGAUAUCUCAUUGCCCCAUUGAUACGUCUCCAACGUAUCUAUAAUUUAUGAAGUAUUCAUGCCAUGUUUACAAUAGUUUUAUAUGAUUUUGGUAUGAUUUGAUUAGAACUAACCUGGACUGACGUUGUUCUCAGUAGAACUACUGUGGUGUUGUUUUUGUGCAGAAAUAAAAGUUCUCGGAAUGCGAUGAAAAUCAACGGAGAAUUUUUCUGGAAAAUAUGAAAAAUACUGGAACAAAAAUCUACCGGAGGGGAAUCCCAUGGGCCCCACGAGGGCCCCCCUGACGUGAAAUCAAUGCCAACUCCUCCUAUAAAUCAAGAAAAACCCAGAACAGAACCUAGAUCGGAAGUUCCGCCGCCGCAAGCCUCUGUAGCCGCGAGAAAUCAAUCUAGGCCCUCUCUGGCACCCUGGCGGAGGGGGCCAUCAUCACCGGUGGCCAUGGAGGAGGAUCCCAGAGGGGCCAUCAUUGCCAUGAAGGCCAAAGACCAGAGGGAGAACCUCUCCCCAUCCAGGGGGGAGGCCAUGGAGGAGGAAGCACAAGGGGGAGAACCUCUCCUCCUCUCUCUCGGUGGUGCCGGAGUGCCAUCGGGAGGGGAAUCAUCGCCGCGGUGAUCGUCUUCAUCAACAUCACCAUCACCAUCACCAUCCUCAUCUCUUUUACGCGGUCCACUCUCCCGCACCCCGCUGUAAUCCCUACUUGAACAUGGUACUUUAUGCCACAUAUUAUGAUCCAAUGAUGUGUUACCAUCCUAUGAUGUUUUGAGUAGAUAUCCUUUGUCUUUGGGUUGAUUGAUGAUCUAGAUUGGUAUGAGUUGUAUGUUUUACUUUGAUGCUAUCCUAUGGUUCCCUCCGUGUCACGCAAGCAUGAGGGAUUCCCGCUGUAGGGUGUUGCAAUAUGUCCAUGGUUUACUUAUUGUCUGCGUUGCUUGAGUGACAGAAGCAUAAACACGGAUAAGUGGGUCACGGCGUAUGGGAUAAAGGGGACUUGAUGCUUUAAUGAUGUGGUUGGGUUUUACCUUAAUGAUCUUUAGUAGUUGCGGAUGCUUGCUAGAGUUCCAAUCAUAAGUGCAUAUGAACCAAGACGAGAAAGUAUGUUAGCUUAUGCCUCUCCCUCAUAUGAAAUUGCAAUAGUGAUUACUGAUCUUGUUAACAAUUGCCUAGGACAAUUCUGCACACUGACCCAUCAUUAUUCCACACUCGCUAUUUAUAAUAUUUAGUAAUAUAUUCUAACUUUAUGAUAACAGCACCUACUUUUAUAUUUUAGCUCUCCGAUAUCAUUCAAAGUUAUCCUCUUCAUAGCCACAACGUAGUUUUAUUUCUCGUUUCUAGUUGGAAGCAAACGUUCAGUGUACGUAGAGUCGUAUCAGUGGCAGAUAGGACUUGAGAGAAUAUUGAUCUUACCUUUCGCUCCUUGUGGGUUCGACACUCCAUACUUAUCACUUCCACCAUUGGGAAUUGCUACGAUGAUUCCCUGCACUUGGGGAUUAUCACCCAUACGCAGAAAUGGUCGAAGUGUGGAUCUUUGGUAAUGAUAUAUGUACCUAAAAGCGCCAAGUUAAUAUUAGAAGCUAAACAACAAUUGAAAAAUGAUGUAGUACAACACUCCCUCCAUCCCAUUAUAUACGAUUUUAUUACAUGUAUAUCUAGACAUCAUCAGAACAUUAAGGUAACACUAUGCCUUGUUGCUAUGUAGCCUGGGAUUGCAUCUUUAGUCAUUCAGUACAAUGCACAUUGCUAAAUAACAAUUGAAAAAUGAAAAGGCAUGUUAACUGCAAUAUCCUUAACAGCAACCAAAUAUCAUAAUUCAUAGUGGUAUUGUCGAAACUGUUAUUGAUGAAAUUGAACUGCACGGCAAAUAGUUGCACAUAUAGAGCAUCACAUUGUGAAGAACUGAAGUAAACAAGUCAUAAGGACAUCUCUAGGCGAUCCUUAAAAAGUUAAAGGAGUAAGACCCUUAGUGGAUAUAUAUAUACUCUAGCAAUUUUUGGCCUUUUCUAGUCGAUCACCUAAACUUAAGGUUGUAAACUUCAAUUUCGUCAAGUUCAAAGCAGGUUCAACCGAAAGUAGCAUGCAUUCAAACAUAAACAUAGAAAGUUUUGCAUAACCGAACAUAAAACAUAAAUUUAAACUAAGCUAAACUACUUUCGGUCGAAGUAGAGGUCGAGCCAAUCCUUCCUCGUCAAGUACGGUGUGCCGCGAUCCGGGUCCGGGCCGGUACCGUCGUUGGAGUUGUUGGGGAAGGCACUCCUCCACUCGUCGACGUCGAUCUCCUCGUCCUCGGGGCCCACCUCAACGCCCUCCGCGUCGCCGUCGCCGCCGCCUUCGACCUCGUCAUCGGAGGAGAGCGUGAUAACCUCGCCGCCCUCCACGCCGGCAAAGAUCGCCCGCUCCGCCUCCACGAGCUUAGGGUGCUGCCGGCAGAGCUCUUGCAUGUAGGCCUCAUCAGCGGCCUUGGCCUCGAGGCGCUCCCACGCCUCACGGUCCUCCCGUGCCAUAGCCGAGCUCACCACCCGUGGCUCCAGCGGAACGAGGUCAACCGGACGUGUGCCGAAGGGGAAAUUGAGCCUAGCCUCCGCACCGUGGUAGCGGACCUGCCAGAGUUUGUACUCCAUGGCCGCGAGCUCGGCCGUGUGGAAGCUACCGAGCCACCGGCGGGUGUGGGUCUCUCGAUCUAUAAUCUCGGCGACCCACGUCCCCCACCGCCGCUGCCAGACCCCGAGGUAGGACCUCGUCGUCUGCUGGGUCCGAGGGAGGACGGGGAAGUCCUCGAACCGGCAUAGGGGCGCAGCGGCGGGCAGAUCAGGGGACCGGCGACGGUGGAUCGGGCCCGCGGAGGACGACGGGGACACCUCGGCGGCCACCUCGCCGGCGUCGGGCGAAAAGGCCGCGAUAAACCUCUUUUUGGCCAUUGGCUCCUCGAGCUCCCCGGCACACAGGCAGAGGUUGAGGAUGGAGGCGUCGGCGAUGGCGACAACCUACCAAUGGUUUCGAGGGGGGCAAGGUUGUGUUUGAGGAAAUACUGCGGCAACUGCAAAUUUUACUAGGCGGGGGUAACAAGGCGGGGCUAAUGAAAAUUUGGAUCAAGGGCGAGCAGAUAUUUUUUAGAUUACGAGGGAUGCAGAGGCGGGAGUAAAAUGCCGGGGCUACUGAAAAUUUGAAUCAAGGGACUGAAGCAGGUGGGAGUUUUUGGGGAGCGAGCUAGUGUGCUUGACAUGCCGGCUAUGGACUGUAGCCGAUGCACCUUCUCGCGUAAGCCAUAGGUGUACUAUACACCGACGGUGCUCCAAGAUAUUGUGUACUAUGAUAACCCACAAGUAUAGGGGAUCAAUUUUAGCCUCUUUCGAUAAGUAAGAGUGUCGAACCCAACGAGGAGCUAAAGGUAGAACAAAUAUUCCCUCAAGUUCUAUCGACCACCGAUACAACUCUACGCACGCUUAACGUUCGCUUUACCUAGAACAAGUAUGAAACUAGAAGUACUUUGCAGGUGUUGUUGGAUAGGUUUGCAAGAUAAUAAAGAGCGCGUAAAUAAAAAGUAGGGGCUGUUUAGAUGAAGACACAACUAAGUUAGUUUUAGUAGAGAGCUUUUGUCACACAAGAAAGUUAUUUGUCCCUAGGCAAUCGAUAACUAGACCGGUAAUCAUUAUUGCAAUUUUAUUUGAGGGAGAUGCAUAAGCUAACAUACUUUCUCUCCUUGGAUCAUAUGCACUUAUGAUUGGAACUCUAGCAAGCAAAUGCAACUACUAACGAUCAUUAAGGUAAAACCCACCCAUAGCAUUAAAGUAUCAAGUCCUCUUUAUUCCCAUACGCAAACAACCUACUUACUCGGGUCUGUGCUUCUAUCACUCACGCCACCCACCAUAAGCAAAUCAUGGACAUAUUGCAAACCAUACAACGGGGAUCCCUCACGCUUGCGCGACACGGAGAGCACCAUAGGACAACACCAAUAAUAAAACAUGCAACUCAAACCAAUCACGAUCAUCAAUGAACCCAUAGGACAAAAUGGAUCUACUCAAACAUCAUAGGAUAGCCAUACAUCAUUGGGAAAUAAUAUAUAGCUUUGAGCACCAUGUUUAAGUAGAGAUUACAGCAGGUAAAAGAGGGGUUACAUCGCUGCAUAGAGGGGGGAAGAGUUGGUAAUGACGGCGGUGAAGUUGUUGGUGUAGAUCGUUGUCGCGAUGGUGGCCCCGGCGGCGUUUCGGCGCCACCGGAAUAGAGGGGUGUCGGUGUCAAAACCGGCUGAUCUCGGGUAGGGGGUCCCGAACUGUGCGUCUAAGGCAGAUGGUAACAGGAGGCGGGGGACACGAUGUUUACCCAGGUUCCGGCCCUCUCGAUGGAGGUAAUACCCUACUUCCUGCUUGAUUGAUCUUGAUGAUAUGAGUAUUACAAGAGUUGAUCUACCACGAGAUCAUAGAGGCUAAACCCUAGAAGCUAGCCUAUGGUAUGAUUGUUGUUGUCCUACGGACUAAACCCUCCGGUUUAUAUAGACACCGGAGGGGGCUAGGGUUACACAGAGUCGGUUACAAGGGAGGAGAUCUACAUAUCCGUAUUGCCAAGCUUGUUUUCCAUGCCAAGGAGAGUCCCAUCCGGACACAGGUUGAAGUCUUCAAUCUUGUAUCUCCAUAGCCCAACAGUCCAGCCAAAGGAUAUAGUCCAGCUGUCCGAGGACCCCCUAAUCCAGGACUCCCUCAGUAGCCCCUGAACCAGGCUUCAAUGACGAUGAGUCCGGCGCGCAAAUUGUCUUCGGCAUUGCAAGGCGGGUUCCUCCUCCGAAUACACAAGGAUAGUGUCCGGCUCUGCAAAACAAAUUCCACAUACCAUCGUAGAGAGAAUAAUAUAUCACGAGAUUCUCAUCAAUACGGGUGUGGGUAACCCAGCCGCGCCAUCAAUCACGGCGCUUGGGGAAUAAGCGAUUUUACUGGGCAAGUGGGGAGGCGCAGAAUACUUGCUGCCUUUAUAAGGGGAUAAGAACGCCAUUCGCACCCACGCUUUCUUCUUCCCGAUCCAUUCCCCUCCGCCCGAGCUCCAGUGCCCCAGCGUUCAUCUUUUCUGCCCACAAAGGCCUUCCGAAAAUGUCCGGAUCUGGAGCAGGAGGCAAAUGGAUGGCCUCUACCGUCCGGGAGAAGGAUAUCAAAAAGCUUCGGGAGGCCGGGUAUCUGGCCAAGAAAAUCAGCCACCAUCUCCCGACGGCGGGACAGAUCGUCCCUACUCCGGAACCCCACGAGAGGGUUGUAUUCCUCCCUCACUUUGUCCGCGGGCUAGGGUUUCCCCUCCACCCAUUCGUUCGCGGCAUCAUGUAUUACUAUGGGAUCGAUCUUCACGAUCUGUCCCCUAAUUCCUUCCUCAACAUCUCGACAUUCAUUGUCGUGUGUGAGGCUUUUCUCCGCAUCUCGCUGCACUUUGGCUUAUGGCUGAAGAUUUUUAAUGUGAAGCCGAAGGUAGUGGGCGGCGAGCACGCCGAGUGCGGGGGCGCUAUGGUGAGCAAGAUGCCCGAUGUCAUAUGGCCAACAGGAACCUUUAAUGAUUCUGUCAAGGAGUGGCAACAGCAGUGGUUUUAUAUCACUGAGCCGCGCGGCACUAAAUGGGCCGCUAUUCCCGAGUUUCGAUCCGGUGCCCCCCUGCGGCUUACAUCCUGGGUCAAGAAGGGCCUGGACUGGUCCUCGUCCGACGAACUGUCGGUGCUGCAGACGCAUGUUAAAGAUAUGGGAGACAAGAACAUUGAACUUGUCAAUGUAGUCCAGGUGAUGUUAGUUCGCAGGAUUCUGCCUUGUCAACACCGGACUUGCAAUCUAUGGGAAUUCGAUCCGGCCAGGCACCAAACCUUGCGAGAGAUUUUAGGCUCCUCGCACAAGGACAUCUGGAAGGUGCUUUUCAAGUCCAGCAAAUCAUGGCCAGACUCCGCCGAGGACCGCGGGUACCAACUGUCCCGCCCUGCAAGUUCGGUAAGUCAUCAAACUUUUUAUCGGCGUAACCCAAAGGAAGCGCUUAACGUGUUUUAUACAACUCUCCCAGGGCUGGACGAAGAAGGCGGAGCGGAUCCAUUGUCCGGCCCCGCUGCCCGAUGAACCGGCCGUCCCACUUCUGAUGAAGAUGCUGGUCCCGGUGCCUUACAAGGUGCCGAAGAAGACGGCUGAGAAGGAGGCCAAAAAGACCCGGGGCGGCCUUCGUCGCCGCGGCACUUCGGACACAAUAUCCGAAGGCUCUGAUGCCCGUUCCGCCUCCAAAGAGGACGAGGAGGAGGAGGAAGAUGAAUCCCCCGCGGGGGGAAGAAAGAAGAGGGCGGCCUCCGAACGCUUGGAGGCCGGGUCGCCUAAAAGGGGAAAAGCUCCUCUUCCGGAAGAGUCCACUGCCGCCGCCGAUAGCGACCCGGCGUGGGAUCCUAGGGCCCAGCCCCUGGUGACCUCGUGAGUAUAUAAAAUCCGGAUACGUUUGUGUGUCCAGACUUAUCAUGGCAUAAAAUUUUAACCUGAGCCAUGUUUUUUGUAGUCCGGCGAGGUCUCGCACCGAACAAUCCUCAUCAGAGGAUUUGCUGAGCUCGGAUGCUAUGGAGAGUGGGACGCCCCCGAAGGCCCCCUCUACCAAACAGGUGAAUAACACCGAGGCUUUGUCCCAGAAGGACCCCGGCCAAGGAGGAGAGGGAAAGACCGUGAAGGUGGCGCCUGGAGGUCAAACUUCAGGGGCCGGACACAUGGGGUAAAAGAUUCCCAUGGGAGCUGACGGCGGGGGCCAUCUUGAAUUCGGCUCCCAGCCGGAUGCGAUUCCGGAGAUCUAUACGGCUCUAGAAUCAAGCAAGCAGCCUCCCUCAGCUGGAGGGGGCGUGCCUGUUCCACCGGCAACCUCUAUCCAACCAGAGGUGUCGGAUGCUUUGUUGGUGGCGCUGAAGAGCGCCUCCAUCGUUGAUGAACAUCGUGCCCUUAUGGGUGCGGUGAUUGAGAAGAUUCAGUCUGCUGAGAGUGGACUGAACGAAGCCUAUAUCAGCCUUAUAAGAGGCUUUGAGGUAUGUUUUAUGAGUUUUCGAAGAGUGUCAUAGUAUAGAUAGUAGCCCCUGAUACACUGUUCGGUGAAAGAAAGAACCGGACAGAGGAUCGAAUUUAUGUUCGCAAGAAGACUCGUUGAAUGACAUCUAUUUCUCUUCUGUUAUAAGCAUGCGUCUGUAGCAUCAGCUGCCUCUCAUACUGCAGAGAUCUCCGGACUGAAUCAAAGUCUGGAGCGGGCCAAAGAAGAACUUGGCCAGUUAAAAAUGCAGUUGAGAGAUAAACAAGGUAUGCACAAGUCUUGUUUGUGUUUAUUGCGAAUGAAUUUUCAGUAUGAUAAAAUAAGCUUCAUGAUUUGCGCUAGGGAUUGUGAUCGAAGUCGAGGCCCUUAAGAAGGUUGUGGCCGAGGCCGAGAAAAAGGCAGCCACAGAGUAGGCUCUUCGUGAGAAGCACGAGGCCAGGGUUAUUAAAGCUGAGCAGGAGCUGCAAGAGGCCGUGAGGAAAUGCGAGACCUUGGAGCAGAGUUUAACGGAGAAAGAAUCCGAACUCACCAAGGCGCAUCAGGCCACGAGCGAUGCCCGGGGGAAACCCAAAGCGCCCUGCAGGGGAUCCAAGAGGCGAGAAAGAUCGCGGCGGGUAAGGCUUUUUCCAUGUAAAGCAAGUAUUUGAGGGAAAUUUAUGUUUCUAAUUUUGAAUUCGGAUUUCUCAGGGUUAUUUGCCGAGCUGCCCCGCAGCAUAUCAGAUGCCGCCCAAUUCUACCGAGCCGAAGAAAGGAGCACUGCGGAUAAGCUCUUCUGGUCGCAGUAUUUGGCGCCGAAUUAUCCGGUGCCUUUUGCCGAUCAACUGAAACAGCUGAUCGAACUGCAUAAGGCGGCGGAACUAGCCAUGAAAGAUUUGGUUAUCCGGCUAUGGCCUGCCGAGCCGAUUCCAAGCAGCUACUUCGGGCUCGUGAAGCGGCUUGUAAGAGCUUGCCCUCGACUUGACGCCAUCAAGCGGUCGGUCUGCAUAGAAGGUGCGCGAAUGGCCUUCGCCCGCGCAAAGGUGCACUGGGGGAAGAUGGAUGCUGGGAAGCUGAUGACUGAAGGGCCACCAAAGGGGAAGGAGCACCGCAAGCCCGAAUUAUAUUAUGAAAGUUUCCUAAAAGGAUCCUACCUUGCAGCGGAGCUAUGCACCAAGGACAUUAUAUUUCCAUGAAUGUCAAUCAUGUUGUCCUUUGUAAUGUUUGAACAAGGUCAUUUAUUUAUUGCCUGUUAUAUAAAAGUUUACCCUCCUGCGCGGCCAUUUUAUAUGUUAAACCUGAGAGUUGGCCAGUCGUCGGCUUCUGCCCCCACGUAAGAAGUACGGGGGUGUUCGGGAUAAACCUGAGCACUCUUUAUCCCAGUUAUGGGUCCUUCAAAGGAGGUGCUCAGCACAACGAACCAGGCAAUCAGACUAUAGGGCUUUAUCACUCUCACUUAGCCAUAGGAGCUUUAGUAAGGUAGGCGCAGCCCCUGGUGUUCGGAAGACUGUACUAGGGGCUCUAUAAGCACCUGAUCGGGGGAAAAACCGAUCCAUCGCACGCUGCAUUGGUUAUGGCAUUAUGCGGGAGAAAUCCUUAAAGAUUUUGUGACCUCUCAAAUAGCUGACCAGCUCUCGCCGUAUCAUGAUAGUCAGUUUUCGGCUUUCUCUACUGAGGUGCUCGUCCGGAAGAACCGGGACACAAUCGCAGUAGUUCUCCCAGUGCUACCUCAGCCGAUAUAGCGGAACGUAAGGUACCAAAACAUGGGAGCCGGGCAAACCCAACUAUUGACCCAAGACAUGAUUCAGAGCUGAUGCAUAUAGUGCUAUAAGUUCGGGGUGCCGAACUUCCAUGAAGGUGUUCGGACUUUAUUGUCGUGUUAUGGGUGAAACGAAGCCCCUGGCAUAUUUUAAGGCAUAUCGCUGUGUACGGAUGCCACUUAAAAGAAUUUCAAUAAGAAAUAACAGCAGGUAAGCGUCAUAUAAAUCCACAUGUUGUAUUUGAAUAGUACGUCUAUGCGUAUGAGUACGGGUAAUGUGAUAAAAAAAGAAAUAUGAUUGCGGAACCUGCUGAGACCAGGGGGAAGAAGCUGAGUGUGGAUUCGUAAUAUAGCCGGAUGGUCAUUGCGGGGAAUGUCUAAGGAUUCCCUUGCGCGUUCAAGCUGCCUCCGCAUCGCCCGUCCUGGUCGGCGCAAAGGUGAACCUGCGAAGGAAAUGUAAGAAAUGUUUGCGUGCCGGGGAGCGGUUGAGCCGCUGAGUGCGGCCUGUCCUGGCCUUCGCCGGAGUGUUUAAUUGAGCUCUGGACGAGCCGGGCUAUCCUUCCAUGAAGUAGUUCGGAGUCCCUUGACGGUGUCCGGGAGCCUGGACGUCGACUCGAGGUUCGGCUGCAAGGCGCUGCUCGUUGCUUCUGCGGUUAGGGCAGUGGUGUACUUGUUGGUGCCGAGGGAAGGUUCGGCCUUGCCAUUAAUCGUGAUGACGCCGCGUGGACCGGGCAUCUUGAGCUUAUAGUAAUGUGGCACCGCGUUGAAUCGAGCGAACGCGGUUCGUCCGAGCAGUGCCUGAUAAUCACCGCGAAAGGGGACAAUUUCGAAGAUUAACUCUUCAGUACGGUAAUUUUCUGGUGAUCCGAAGACUACCUCAAGGGCGAUGGAGCCUGUACAGCUGGUUUCCACACCUGGUAUAAUGCCUCUGAAAGUGGCCUCAGUGGGUUUGAUCGCUGAAUGAUCGAUGCCCAUCUUGUGCACUGUGUCCUGGUAAAGCAGAUUUAGACUGCUGCCUCCGUCCAUAAGGACUCGUGUGAGGUGAAACCCGUCAAUUAUUGGGUCGAGGACUAGUGCGGCUGGAUUGCCCUGAUUGGCGUUAACCGGACGAUCCGUGCGGUUGAAGGUGACCGGCCCUAGUUUAUAUUGUGGGAUGACUAGUUCCGUUAAGUCGGCAUCCCUAAGGGUGCAUAUCCGGUCCGAGUUGGGAAUUUGAGUGGUGUUUACGAUAUUCACCGAUUGAAUAUGCGGGGGAAAUUUCUUUUUCCCUCCUGUGCUCGGUGACCUGGGCUCUUCGUCGCCAUCAUCGCUGUGAGACCCCCCUUCUCUGUUUUUGGCGCCUGCCCUGCCGGCUUGUUUGAAGACCCGGCAUUCUCUGUUGGUAUGGGUGGCUAGCGUUCCUCGGGUGCCAUGAAUUUGGCAUUGGCGAUCGAGUAUGCGGUCCAGACUGGAUGGACCCAAAUUGUUAUUUUUGAGUGGCCGUUUCCGCUGACCGGACUUUGAGCCCCUAAGCCCGGCAUUAACUGCUGUAUCUUCGGCGUUUUCACCAUAUUUGCGACGCUUGUGUUUGUUGCGUCGUGGUUUGCCGUUGCUAUCCCUGGCCUCUGAUGUGUCAGGCUUGCUUGCUGUAUUGUUGCUACGAGCCAACCAGCUAUCUUCGCCCGCGCAAAAGCAGGUCAUAAGUGUCGUGAGGGCUGCCAUGGAUUUUGGCUUCUCUUGGCCGAGGUGCCGGGCGAGCCAUUCGUCACGGAUGUUAUGCUUAAAUGCCGCUAGGGCCUCUGCAUCCGGACAGUCGACAAUUUGGUUCUUCUUAGUUAGGAACCGGGUCCAAAACUUCCUGGCCGAUUCCCCUGGCUGCUGAGUUAUAUGAAUUAAAUCGUCAGCGUCCGGCGGUCGCACAUAAGUACCCUGGAAAUUGUCCAGGAAUGCGUCUGCCAGGCUCUCCCAACUUCCGAUGGAGUUUGCCGGCAAGCUAUUGAGCCAAUGUCGAGCCGGCCCUUUGAGUUUUAGCGGGAGAUACUUGAUGGCAUGUAAAUCAUCCCCGCGAGCCAUGUGAAUGUGGAGGAAGAAGUCUUUUAUCCAUACCGCGGGGUCUGUAGUGCCAUCGUAUGAUUCAAUGUUUACGGGUUUAAACCCUUUUGGGAAUUCAUGAUACAUUACUUCAUUGGUGAAGCAUAGGGGGUGUGCGGCGCCUCUGUGCCAGGCUAUGUCACGACGCAGUUCAUACGAGUCUUGUCUGUUGUAUUCGGCCCGGCCGGAUUUGCUUUUAGUGUAUCCGGCGUGACGAUCAUCGUCACAUGUUGGGGCGCGACCCCGUGAUCCGUAGAUCGAUCUUGUAUGUCCUGCUUUGUUUUCCAAUUUGUUUCGCAGGUCCUACAUGUUGCCCCGGGCCUUGGUAUUUUUGUUUAAAUGGCGGCGGGGUGCGGGCUGGACUUCGGGCUGAUAUGCGUCUCUGUCUCGGCCACGAGGUGGCCGAUCAGCCGCAUCAUACGCUGGUGCUGUAGGUUUCAAUGCUUCCUCCUCGAGUUGGGGUAGCAACCUGCGCUUUGGGUAACUCUUGGUUGGGAGCUCGAGUUCGUAUUCCUCGGCCGCCAAGACUUCAGUCCAUCUAUCCGCUAGCAGAUCUUGAUCAGCUCGAAGCUGUUGUUGCUUUUUCUUCAGGCUGUUUGCUGUGGCUAUAAGCCGGCGCUUGAAGCACUCCUGCUCGACGGGAUCCUUAGGCACGAUAAAUUCUUCGUCGCCGAGGCUCACCUCGUCUUCGGAGAGAGGUAUAUAAUUGUCAUCCUCUGAUUCUCCGUUUGCUGCCUGUUCCGGAGGGCUAGCUUGUUCAUCCUCCCGCUCAAGGCCUGGCUGGAGGGGAUUGUCGUCGUCUUCGGCACUAUCCGGAGUGUUAUUGUCUCCUGUGCCGGUAUCGCUGCUUUUGCUAUGGCGGGACUUGGAGCGGCACUGCUGACGUCGGUGCUUGGAUAGCUUCUUGGAGGGAUUAUCCUCCGUUGUCUUAUCGCCAUCACCUUCUUUGGGGGUGUCCACCAUGUAUAUAUCAUAUGAUGAGGUGGCAGUCCAGUGCCCUGUGGGCGGUGGUUCUUGUUCGUCUCCUGCAUUGUCGCCCAUACCGUCGAUGUCUUCGGAGCCGAAGUCGAGCAUGUCGGUUAAAUCGUCGACAGUGGCUACUAAGUGGGUGGUGGGUGGGCUGCGAAUUUCUUCGUCGUCCGCAUCCCAUUCUAGCCGAACAUAGUUCGGCCAAGGGUCUCCUGACAAGGAGAGAGACCUCAAUGAGUUUAGCACGUUGCCUAGUGGUGAGUGCUGAAAGAUAUCCGCGGAGGAAAACACCAUGAUCGGUGCCCCAUCGGAUUCGAUAGGCACGGACGCAGGCGGUUCGGAGCCCGUGGCCGGGGACGAAUCCAACGGUUCGGCAACACGGGUCUCGUAGGAGGUGAAGUCAGUAUUCGGCUCUAUCGCCACUGAGUGUGCGGCCUCCGUGGCGGGGUCCAUCCACCCAUCCUCAGAUGGCAGAAUUUGUUCCGGAUUGAGGGCCGGAGUAGUUGCAGGUGUGAUCUCCCAAACACUGUCCGACGGCAGAGCUAAGUCAUGCUCGUCGUGAUUGUGCGGCGCACCUGACAUGGGCUCGAAUCCGUUGAAGAUCAAGUCUCCGCGGAUGUCGGUAGUAUAGUUCAAGUUUCCAAACCUGACCUGAUGGCCAGGGGCGUAGCUCUCGAUCUGCUCCAGAUGGCCAAGCGAGUUGGCCCGCAGUACGAAGCCGCCGAAUACGAAGAUCUGUCCGGGGAGGAAAACCUCACCCUGGAUCGCAUCGUUGCCGAUGAUCGAAGGAGCCAUCUAGCCUUACGAUGAAGGCACAGUGGAACUCUCAAUGAAAGCACCAAUGUCGGUGUCAAAACCGGCGGAUCUCGGGUAGGGGGUCCCGAACUGUGCGUCUAAGGCAGAUGGUAACAGGAGGCGGGGGACACGAUGUUUACCCAGGUUCCGGCCCUCUCGAUGGAGGUAAUACCCUACUUCCUGCUUGAUUGAUCUUGAUGAUAUGAGUAUUACAAGAGUUGAUCUACCACGAGAUCGUAGAGGCUAAACCCUAGAAGCUAGCCUAUGGUAUGAUUGUUGUUGUCCUACGGACUAAACCCUCCGGUUUAUAUAGACACCGGAGGGGGCUAGGGUUACACAGAGUCGGUUACAAGGGAGAAGAUCUACAUAUCCGUAUUGCCAAGCUUGCUUUCCACGCCAAGGAGAGUCCCAUCCGGACACAGGUCAAAGUCUUCAAUCUUGUAUCUUCAUAGCCCAACAGUCCGGCCAAAGGAUAUAGUCCGGCUGUCCGAGGACCCCCUAAUCCAAGACUCCCUCAAGGGGGAGAGAGCCCCCCUUCUUCUUCUUCUUCCUUGACCUUCCCCCUAGAUGGGAGAAGGGUUUCCCCUCCGGUCCUUGGCUUCCAUGGCGGCAGAGGGGUGGGAGCCCCUCCGAGAUUGAAUCUCUCUCUGUUUCCUUCUAAUUCUGCACUCCCUGAUUCUGCCCUUUCACCGUUUCUUAAAUUUCCGGAGAUCCGUAACUCCGAUUGGGCUGAAAUUUGGACACGAUUUUUAUCCGCAUAUUGGCUUUCUUUCGGUGAAAGAAGGGCACCAACCGCCUUACGGAGUGGCCACGAGGGCCCAGGGCGCGCCCUACCCCCUGGGGGCGCCCCUCACCCUCGUGGGCCCCUCGGGCAUCGUCUCGCGUUGAUUCCACUUCCCAAAAUUCACAUAUAUUCUAAAAAAAUCUCUGUCAGUUUUUAUCCCGUUUGGACUCCGUUUGAUAUGGAUUUUCUGCGAUACAAAAAACAUGCAACAAACAGGAACUGGCACUGGGCACUGGAUCAAUAUGUUAGUUCCCAAAAAUAGUAUAAAAAGUUGCCAAAAGUAUAUAAAAGUUGUAGAAUAUUGGCAUGGAACAAUAAAAAAUUAUAGACAUGACGGAGACGUAUCAUACUACAUCUCACACGGUUGGUGAUAAUAAACUGUGUGGGAUCUACUUGAUUUGAUUACAUAAUGGGGUCACAGCGGCAAUGGACGCUCUUUGAAUUGCUAGACCUUUAAUCUGCAGUGAACAUGCAACUAUAUAUGUGUCGUAAAAGAAUUGGAAUUAUUCAGGGUUCGUUUGGACAUUUUAUACAUUAAACUGGUUUUCUAGCCAUUUCAGGUGCACAAUUCAAAAUUAAACUACAUGCACAUGCUCCGGUGCAUAUAAAUUGGUUGAAAAAUCAAAUUUGUGUCCUUCAGUGCAUGCUUAGGUCCCAUACAAGAAAUGGGAAUGAAUUUUUUGGGGUUUGUUUGGCCUUUUUUAUAAAUUAACUAGGUUUUCUAGGCAUUUUAUGUGCAUAAUUCAAAUUUGAACUACAAGCACAUGCUCCAGUGCACCAAAGUUGGUUGAAAAAUCACAUGUGUGUGUCCUUGGGUGCAUGCUUAGGUCCCAUGCAAGAGAUGGGAAUGAAUUUCAAACACCAGGGCACUGUUGAUUGCCGGCAAAACAUUGAGAUACCUGGUUUUUAAAUUCUAGUAAAUAAAAAACUUGUAUGAAAUUCAUGAAACUUGGCAUGCUAUCAUGGAGCGGCAUCAACAUGCCGUGGUGAAAAUUUUGUCCCAUUUGGGGCAGGUUUGGGUAUAAGCUUCUCACAACAAGCGUGAUGGCUUCGGUAGGGAACGUGCCACCUUUGGGGACGAAACGAUAUCCGUUGCCUCUUAUUGCUUUCAAAAAAAUUCUAGUGAACAUAGAACAACAGGAGUGUUGUGUUUAAUCUUGGAAUUUUUCGGGGUUCGUUUGGCCUUUUUUAUACAUUAACUGGGUUUUCUAGGCAUUUUAUGUGCAUAAUUCAAAUUUGAACUACAAGCACAUGCUCCGGUGCACUAAAGUUGGUUGAAAAAUCACAUGUGUGUCCUUGGGUGAAUUUAUAGGUCCCAUGCAAGAAAUGGGAAUGAAUUUCAAAUGCCAGGGCACCGUUGAUUUCCGGCAAAACGUUGAGAUGCCUAGUUUUUAAAUUCUAGUAAAUCCAAAACUCGUCUGAAAUUCAUGAAACUUGGCAUGCUAUCAUGGAGCGGCAUCGACAUGCCGUGGUAAAAAAAUUGUACCAUUUGGGGCAGGUUUGGGUAUAUGCUUCUCAUAGACCAGAGCUUCUCACAACAAGCAUGACGGUUUCGAUAGGGAACGUCCCACCUUUGGGGACGAAACGAUAUCCAUUGCCUCUUAUUGCUUUCAAUUUUUUUCUCGUGUCAACAUAGAACAACAGGAGUGUUCAGUCAAUUUUUGUGAUUUUUUGGGGUUCGUUUGGACAUUUUUAUGCAUUAACUGAGUUUUCAAUGCAUUUAUGUGCAUAAUUCAAAUUUGAACUACAUGCACAUGCUCCAGUGCAUAUAAAUUGGUUGAAAAAUUAAAUCUGUGUCCUUGGGUGCAUGCUUAGGUCCCAUGCAAGAAAUUGGAAUGAAAUUCAAACACCAGGGCACCGUUGAUUGCCGGCAAAACAUUGAGAUGCCUGGUUUCUAAAUUCCAGUAAAUCCAAAACUCGUCUGAAAUUCAUGAAACUUGGCAUGCUAUCAUGGAGCGGCAUCAACAUGCCGUGGUAAAAAAUUGUCCCAUUUGGGGCAGGUUUGGGUAUAUGCUUCUCACAGACCAGAGCUUCUCACAACAAGCAUGAUGGUUUCGAUAGGGAACGUCCCACCUUUGGGGACGAAACGAUAUCCAUUGCCUCUUAUUGCUUUCAAAAUUUUUUCUCGUGUCAACAUUGAACAACGGGAGUGUUGUGUCAAUUUUUGUGAUUUUUCGGGGUUCCUUUGGACAUUUUUAUGUAUUAACUGAGUUUUCAAUGCAUUUAUGUGCAUAAUUCAAAUUUGAACUACAUGCACAUGCUCCAGUGCAUAUAAAUUGGUUGAAAAAUCAAAUUUGUGUCCUUGGGUGCAUGCUUAGGUCCUAUGCAAGAAAUGGGAAUGAAUUUCAAACACCAGGGCACCGUUGAUUGCCGGCAAAACGUUGAGAUACUUUGUUUUUAAAUUCUAGUAAAUCUAAAACUUGUCUGAAAUUCAUGAAACUUGGCAUGCUAUCAUGGAAUGGCACCCGACAUGUUGUGGUAUUUUUCGUGUCCAUUUUGAGAGAAGGCGCACUCGAAUAACAGCCAACAAAGGCAUUUUGAAAAAAUAGCUGCCACUUUAAUAUCUCAAACGGUUGUAUAAUUCAAAUCGUGUGUGUUCUGUUAACCAUUCACGUGACGCCACGUGUCUUCGUUUUAACGGCUAUAGGAGGUGCCAUGCGGACAACUGCUUGACCUUGACUGAAGGGGAGGCGUGCGAGCGGAGUUCGGUGCGCAGGCUGACCGAGAGGCGUGCAAGCUGUCCUCCAAUGCGCAGGCUCACCGGGAAGCGUGCGAGCUGUACGCUGCGCAGGAUCACUGGGAAGCGAGCCCUUUGACUUUCAUGGCCGCCCGCCUUCCUCUCCAUUAAUGGCGCCCGAGCCGCUGUUUAAUACGGGCGGCCUUACUGUUCGCCUCCCAUUCCCCUCCCUCCCGCAGACCUCCACCAACGCCAUGGCGCAGAAUGAUCAUCUGCCACUAGUCAUCAAGUUUGGUGAAGUCGACUCCAAGCCGGAGGAGAUAGAAAAUAAAGAGGAAUGGGGCCUCAUGGACAUGGCCCAGAACGAGCUGGCCGCAGCAGUUGCUACCCCCGCUCCCGUCCCAGCUCCCAUCCCCGCGCCCGCGCCAGCGACCAUCCGCGUAGCAUUGACGGGCUGGUCGCCGAGCACUAUCGCAGAGCUCGAAGCCGCGGCGUCAGCGAGGUCUCCGCAGACCCGCGCGAGCUCGUGUACAUGCCAGCGCCAGUGCCCGUGCCCGUGCGCGCCCCUCCACCCACCGUGGCGCCGGCCCCCGUGCGUUUGGCUGCACCCGCCGCGCCCGUGCCCCUACCCGUGCGUGCCCCUCCACCCACCACGGUGCCGGUCCCCGUGCGUUUGGCUGCACCCGCCGCGCCCGUGCCCGCGCCCCCCUCAGUGGCAUGGGACGCUGUCGUCGACUGCUACCUCUCAGCGGCGCCAGUUGACGUCCUCCCACGCCACGCCCGUCGAUCGCGCGAUGACAUGAUGUUUUAUUUACAAGUGAAGAACAUUUUGUGCUGCCUUGAAGACUUUAACAAAGGCGUCCCAGAGGACGACAACGACGGCGCGGCACGCCGCAGCCGGAAAUAGUUCUUUUGGGGGUUUAAUACUAUAUCUCGAAUUCUCGAUCAUAUGAAUAUACAUUCGCAGUGUGACUGAAUGAAAGAUAUGGUUUGAACGAACUUGCAUUUUUCUCUCUUAAUGUACAGACUUAUCAAACGAUUUUCUUUUGAAAAAAACGCCAAUGGUUUUUAAAUAUAAAACACUCUCGCAAACGUUUUAGUUAGAACACCUGUACGUAAACCGACAGCUUCCCCGGGAAGCCAAGGGAAAAUGUGCCAAGCAGGAUUUCUGCAUCCCUUCAACGCAAACGGUUGUUUUGCAUGACCCGUGUGCAACCAUGUAGAAACAAUUGGUAAGAUUUGCAUCUGUCAUUUUGGGUAUGUUGCCAUUUGUCAAACUGGAAAGAUUGACAUUUGUUUACCUAGUAACAUUGCCAUUUGUCAACCUUGUAACACUGCGAUUUGUCAAAAUAUGCAGCUAAAAAUCACUAGCACUAUCUAAUUUUUGCAACUAAAAUCACUAGCAUUGUUCAUAUGGACACCACUAGCAGGCGUGAGUUGAUGGACGCAUAUGCAAAUGUACCAUUGAUUACAUACAACAAGUCAUCAACCCACAAUGACAACGAGGAUACACGUUGGAUUAUAGAUCAUUUCCAACAAAACAUUCUAGUAAAGUAAAGUUUUUCUCACACAACAAAUAACAAAGCGAUGAAAUGAAUUUCAGCUCAACCACUCGUCGGUGUUGGAUACGGUUGCUUUGAACCAGAAGUGAUUCUCUGGGAAGGGCCAGCUACUGUCAAUCUCGAGACCGACGCAGGACUGAUCAUCCAGGCUGAAGCGGCCUAUGUCAGGACCCAUAUUGGGACGGUAGGGAAGCAUAGCAAUGUCCGAGGUAUAUAUACAGUUGCUUCUCAUAAAUGGUAGUAAUGUUGUGUCAACAGCAGCUGGAUCGCCUUCCACCAUCAUUGGAUAGUUUUGUCCAAGGAAGAGCGAGUUUCCUCCAAGACUUUCAAUACUGAACCAGGCAGAAGGUGUUGGUGCUAGUACACUAGUAUCCGUCCCGAAUACCCUGCAACGGAUGUUGGAAUAGGUCCGGAGAGUGCGACCAUGCGAGACAAUACCUGCUUCCUUAGUAACAUCAGCAAUGUCCUGUAUACAGACAAGAAGAGGUGAUCCAUCGGAAUAAGUUGCCAGGCGCCACUGAGUAUAUGGGUCCUCAUGCUCGUGAUCAUCAGCAUCGUCAUCUCCCCCUUGGUUAUAAAUUUUUUCAAGUAUAGGUGGUGGAAUGUUCACAGGACCUUGGAAACACAAGAAGGUUAAUUAGUAAAGGGAAACUAGCUAACCCGCAUGCAUGUGGAUGAAACAAUUAUAAUUACGGUGGAAGACAAACGUACCAAAAGCAUCAGGAUUCCAUGCAAAAACAGUGCCACGAGUGGUGGCAGCAAACACAAGACCCUCGUAUUGAAUUGCAUCACAGUACUCAUCAGUGUACAGAAAUUGAUUUUUGAGCAAUAUCCAUCGAGGCGUGGAAGUAAGGAAGGUAACAAGCUUGUCGAAGAUAGCAACAACUUCAUAGUUCGUGUAAUCCCAAGAGCGGUUGGGAACUCGACAUAUUGCUAUCUUCCGUAGACGACAGUCACCAUGAUCAUAUUUGAACUCACGUAGAAUACCGGUGUACUCAACCUCUGGGCAGUCUGAGAUUUUUGGAAGUGGAACCCAGUGACGAGUGUACACAUUCACAAGUUCCCACUCGCAGUUGUACCCAAUAUAAACAACCCAAUCUCCAUUUGCGCCUGCCCAAGCCUUUCCCUCAAGCGAUGGCAUCUUAACAUCAUACGUAUCAUUAUCAAGCGGCAUCAACUUGCACAAGGCGAGGCUUCCCUCGUCCCCGCGCCAGUCAGCAGGGUCACGGCGAAGAAGAUAUGGGAGAUCAAACCGCUCUUGGACCCUUGGGUUCCUUAUAAUGAUGUUAUUAGUUGAGUCGAGAAUGGUCUUGAACGAACCUGUCAUGCUAGCCAAGGUGAUGACGUCGCACCGAUCCAUGAGUUCCUCCACCAUGUCAUCUUUCUGAUCGGGGCAAGAAUAGCGGGGUCAUUUCCGGCCUGUUCCCUCCAUGGAGAAGAUGAUCGAACAAUGGUAGAAGGAAGGGUGAAGGCAAAUGGAGGGAGGAAGAGCGUGCGACAGCAGUUCCAAAUCGAGAGGGAAAGGCGAAGAGGCGAUGGAUGGUUGCCACGGUAUAAGAAGAGGCUAGUGGGGAGCGAAUGGUUGCCACAGAGGUCACACACUGACGACAAGGCCGAGUGAACCGCAUGCCGUAUAUCGCACACACCUUGAUCUGGCUGACUGUUUCUUUUGUGUUGCCUAAUCACAAACAGUUCAUUUGAGUGAGCCGUAUGUUGUACAUCGCACACAUCUUAAUCUGGCUGACCAUUUCUAUUCUCUUGUCUCAACGCAAACAGUUCAUCCGAGUGAACCACAUGCCGUAUAUCGCACACACCUUGAUCUGGCUGACCGUUUCUUUUGUGUUGCCUAAUCAUAAACAAUUCAUCCGAGUGAACCGUAUGUUGUAUAUCGCACACACCUCCAUCUGGCUGCCCGUUUCUUUUGUUCCUCCUCAUCACAAACAGUUAAUUGAAUUGAACCGUAUGCCCUGCAUCGCACACGCAACUAAAAUUCGAACCGUGUUUGAUGCAUCCGUCAUCGCAAAUGUUUUGCACCUUUUUUGGCGGUCUUUUUACACCACCGUUUGCGAUUAUUGCAUCGCACACAGUUUCGUCGAAGGGUCUCUGAUCGUUGUGUCGCGUUAGCAGCAUCCUGCAAUAGUGAUAUCUUACAAUUAGUGGGGCAAUGCAAAUAUGUCAUUUAUAGACAAAAAUAUACUGUUUUCAUCUUCAUGACUACACAAAUACAAACACAAUCUAUGAAAAAAUAAAUCUAAAUUAUAUAAUCAAUGCAUCAUGACUAAUUUGCAGUACCGGUACCUCGGGAUAAAAGAAGAAAUCACUGACCUAACUAAUUCAUCUAAAUCAUGAAAUUGAUGCUGCGUGAUGCAGACUAGUAACACGUGUAUAUGAUAUAAAUCAACGAAGGAGAGACUAGUCGUAGUAUUUUCUUGAGCAUCGCCGCAGUCACCGGACGCGGACAGAACCUGAAUGCUUCAGCCAUCACCAUCGCCGUCGGUCAGGAUCGGUUAUGCCAUGCCGUCUACGCCCAGCCCUUCUCCUAUAACUACCCUGAGACAUGCACGCAAGGAGGGUCGUGCGCCGCGUCGGCAUUUUUUUGCGAGAAUCAUAUAGCUUUAUACAAUCAUUUUUAGCUCCAGCACGAUCAGCCAACAGGCUUGUCACGAGGAAACCGGGAGGGGAGUUCAUCCAGCAAUCAACCACACCCGGUGAGCUUCCAUGCUUCACACACAGGUGAGCUGAAUUGUUGGCUUGUCUCAUUACAUGUUGAACAUCAAAACUAAGAAAAGUUGAGGAUAGCCCUUUAAUUUCGAGAAGAAUAGGCGCUAUUACAGAGCGCGAGAAAUGUCGAUGGUACUCUGCAGUGAGGGUUGAGUGGUGUGGGUUCGCGGCCCUUGAGACUCGACCGGGACAGCAGAGGCUCGAUGCGGUAGUAGCGGCGAGGCGUGCGGUAUGUUCGGAACAUGGAGAUGGGCCAGGGCUCUAGCGGCCAUACAUGUGAUGAGACAACUGCGAAUUUGACUCAUGUGACUACUAGCAAUGGUGAAAUUCCUUCAAGUUUCAGACAGACGGUCAAGGAAGAGCGAUGAUGUUGAGUUCAGGUAACGCUUAUGUAUGACACCCAAUAUGUGAGAUGUUCACUUUCACGCAGGUCAGUGAUCAUUGUGUGAUGGCGUUGGACUGAUACUCUGGAAGUUGGGAGCGCAAACUAGAGUAAUGUAACUUAAUUUCGCUCGAUCUUGACAAUGGUUGAGAAAAGGAGGGACUACAAGUUGCAGUUGGAGUCACAUGGAGUCUUUGGAGUAGCAGCGAUACUCAUGGGAUAAGCUCAAGUCCAAUGUACAUGGAAGUUUGACGCAUGGACGAACUCAAGGUGGUGGAGAAUAUGCGCCAAGGUAGGUUACAGUUGGACUCUGAGUUGUAUUGUGUUUACAGGGUAUGGAGUUGUGUCCUAGUAGGACACUUGUAUUCCAGCCCUCUCAUAUAUAGUGGGGAUAGACACACGAUAUAACAUAUGCCAACAUAAUAGCACAAGAACGCAGAGAAAGCCGGCGACAUGUGCCAGCGUCCAGGGCGACCGGGUGCGGUAUUGUAGCGGUAUCAUGGGAAGGAGCGCCCACAGUCAGGCCCCAAAAAUGUAGCCAUAUCGGUGAACCUCGUUAACAAAUUUCGGUGUCGUGCUCCUGUGAUUGCUUGGUUCUCAAUAGAUCGACGAUAACCUUGAAUUUAUUCUAACACCCCGCUGGCCCUCUGGCUCUGCCACUGCAGCCAUGUGCUAGCUAGCUUGUGAGGGCUCCCGCAGCCGCUUGUGCUAGCUAGCCAGCCGGUGGCCGUGUGCUAGCUAGCCAGCUGGCACGCCGGAGCGUUGUAGCUCGUGCGCCCGGGCGCCUCACCGCUCGCGCGUUUGGAGCGGUGGAGCUCGCGCGUCUCGCCCGCCAUUGCAGCUCGCGUGCCCGGCCGCGCCGUGCUCGUCGCGUCUAGCCGCCAUGCUUGCCGCGCUCGCCGUGCCGCCCACGCCAUAUAUACCGCGUCAAGCCGCGCUCGCCCUGCCUCGUGUCGCGCCCCCACCGUGCAGUUUUUGAUCGCGCAUUGGAGCUCGCCGCGCCUAGCCGCCAUGCUUGCCGCGCUCGCCGUACCGCCCCCAUUGUGCCAUGCCGAGCCGUGCUCGCCCUGCCUCGUCUAGCGCCCCCGUCGUGCCGUGUCGAGCCGCGCACUCCCUGUUGUUGGCACAGACCCCUGUACGUCGCUCGUAGACGAGUUCUUUCUGUCGAGAGCACUUCCGUUUGUCGAGCCGGUCGAGUACUUUCCGGCCGUACGCAAACUGUACGUACAGAACUAGCCUAAGCUAGCAAGCAGCCAAGCAAGGAGCUUGAUCGAUCUUUGGAGACUAGCUAUACACGUGAACAGGAUACGGCGACUUGAUUGCAAAACCAGGAACGUGUCGGCCCUGUUGUAUAUUGCUUUUUCAAUCUGAUGAUUACAGGGGGACUAGGUACAGGUAUAAAUAGUAUCUAUCCUACCUAGCAUCUAGCCGACUCGGCAAAAGACUACAAGUCCGUCCCGGACUAGUUUUCUCCUAAUCGUGAUUAUCUCUAACAAUCACCCCCCUAAGCACGAUGUCCUCACUUCACAGCUUGGACGCCAAUCCUUCCCCGCAUCUCCGUGAACUUCUGCCGCCCCAAAGACUUGGUCAGGAUAUCUGCAAGCUGGUCGUCGGUGCAAACAUAGUUGACUUCAAUCUUGCUUUCUUCCACACACUCCCGUAUGUAAUGAUACCGUAUGUCGAUGUGCUUCGUCCUAUCAUGAUGCACUGGAUUCUUACAUAGGGCAAUCGCAGACUUGUUAUCAACAUUGAGCACCACACUCUCUGCUUCCUUAUCUGUGAGGUCACCGAGUAGCCUUCCUAGCCACACCCCUUGACCCGCCGCGGUCGCAGCUGCAAUAUACUCCGCUUCGCAUGAUGAUAAUGCAACCACCUUUUGCUUUUGUGAUAGCCAAGUCACUAUGCUCCCGCCCAAGAAAUAUGCCACUCCCGAGGUACUUUUACGGUCGUCCACAUCUCCUGCCAGGUCGCUAUCACUAUAGCCAAGUAGCUCCACCAUCUCCUUCUUCUCUCUCAAAUAGACACAACCGAAGUUUGUUGUCCCUUUGAUGUACCUGAGUAUAUGUUUGACAGCUGCCCAAUGUUCAGUCGUGGGCGCUUCCAUGAAGCGACUCACUAUGCCAACGGAAUAGGCCAAGUCCGGUCGUGUAUUCACAAGAUACCUUAGGCUUCCGACCACACUUCUAUACUCCGUUGCAUCAACCGCAGAGGCUUCACUCCUUUUGCUAAGUUUCAGUCGAGGCUCCAUUGGAACAAAACUUGGGUUGCAAUCCUCCAUGCUACAGCUUUCAAGUAUCUUCUUUGCAUAUGCCUCCUGGCGUAGUGUGAUCCCCUCCGGCUUUUGAUGUACCUCGAUCCCGAGGUAGUAAGUCAAGAGCCCUAGAUCACUCAUCUUGAAUAGCUCCUUCAUCUGUAGCUUGAAUCGCGCAAUCUCCUCUUCGUCUGCUCCAGUUAUCAAGAGAUCAUCAACAUAGAUGCCCACUAAGAGACGAUCCUUGCCUUUACCUCGCUUGUACAUAGCAUGCUCGAGUGGACUUUUCUCAAAACCAAGAGAAAUCAAUGUACGGUCAAGCUUGAUGUUCCAUGCCCGAGGAGCUUGAUGUAGCCCGUACAAUGCCUUGUGUAGCUUCAACACCUUGUGUUCCUCUCCUUCCUUGAUGUACCCCGGUGGUUGCUUCACGUAAACUUCUUCUUUCAACUCCCCGUUCAAAAAUGCAGAUUUUACAUCCAUGUGAUGUAGCUUCCAAGAUUCUUGAGCCGCGAGAGCUAUAACUAGCCUCACCGAUUCCAUCCUUGUGACUGGAGCGAACACUUCCUCAAAGUCCACACCUUGCUCUUGCACGAAUCCUUUAGCUACGAGCCGAGCUUUAUGCUUCAGCAAGUUCCCUUCGGCAUCCUUCUUGACUUUGUACACCCACUUGAGCCCUAUGGUUUUAUGGCCGUUGGGAAGAUCCGCGAGCUCCCAUACUUUGUUGUCUCGUAUCGAUCCCAACUCUUCAUCCAUAGCACGACGCCAGUACUCCUCUUUGUUUGCAUCUUCAAAUUUCGUCGGUUCCUCGACACUUAGCAAACAUUGUCGUCCUUUUCUUUUAAUUUUCACCGGAUUUACCUUCUGAAGCGCUUUCUUCGGAUAUAAAUCUAACACUGAUCGAAGACGGACUGGCGUAGGCGGAUGUUCCCUCCUCUCCUGUUCUGUCGAAGACGAAGAAAAUUCAUCUGAAGUUGCCAAGCUUCUAUUUUCUGGCGAUUGGGGCUCUCCUGAGCUAUCUGCACAUGCACCAGAAGAACCAGCCACGAAAUCUGAAGUUGCUUCACGUGCAUGCACUUCUGGACCUCCUGUCACGUGGCCUUGUGGAGAUUGGGUAGCGGCUGGGCUUUCUGGCUCGUGGGAAGAACUCCCUGGUGGAGAGCCUGGUGCUGGGCCGCUGCUGCCUCCAGCGCACCUGGCUGGGCUGCCGGGUGCAGGAUACGUGGCUCUCUCUCCACUGCUGCUGCUGCCUGUAGCGCCGCUCGCAGCGUCUCUUCCUGGGACGCCACCAGAUACAGGUGAACUCCCUGACGCGUCUCGCCGCGCGUCGUCGUCUCGAGCAUCGCUCCGUGCCGCCGAAGUGUCCGGUUGAUCAAUAUUAUCUGCACGCUCAGAAUCGUUGUAAAAAACGUGAAAGAUUUCAUCAGAGAUCGGGUAUACCGGCUCGGUGGAGUUCCAAUUCCAUGACCUUGCUUCUUCAAAGACCACGUCACGCGUUACAACCACCUUAUUGUUAGAGGGGUUGCAUGCACGAUAUGCCUUCGUGCCCGCUUCAUAGCCAACCAACAUCAUUGGAGUACUCCGGUCCGCCAACUUGCUAGUAUGCCCGGCCACCGUCUUCACAUGCGCGAUGCACCCAAAAGUGCGAAGAUGAUCAACCGCGGGCUUGUGCCCGUACCAUGCUUCAUACGGCGUCAUCCCAACCACACUCUUGGUUGGAGCCCGAUUCAGCAAAUAAACGGCCGUGUUGACCGCCUCACCCCAAAACUUGCCCGGCAUCCCUUUGCUCUUCAUCAUGCUUCGUGCCAUCGCCACCACGGUUUGAUUCCUCCGUUCCACAACACCGUUUUGCUGCGGUGAAUAUGGCGCCGUAAGAUACCGCUUGAUCCCAUGUGNNNNNNNNNNNNNNNNNNNNNNNNNNNNNNNNNNNNNNNNNNNNNNNNNNNNNNNNNNNNNNNNNNNNNNNNNNNNNNNNNNNNNNNNNNNNNNNNNNNNNNNNNNNNNNNNNNNNNNNNNNNNNNNNNNNNNNNNNNNNNNNNNNNNNNNNNNNNNNNNNNNNNNNNNNNNNNNNNNNNNNNNNNNNNNNNNNNNNNNNNNNNNNNNNNNNNNNNNNNNNNNNNNNNNNNNNNNNNNNNNNNNNNNNNNNNNNNNNNNNNNNNNNNNNNNNNNNNNNNNNNNNNNNNNNNNNNNNNNNNNNNNNNNNNNNNCUUCGGCCGCCAUCUUUACUUUCCUGAAGGCUUGCAAAGCUUGAUCUUUCGUCUUCAACAACACAAUCCACAUGUAUCUGCUGAAGUCGUCGACGAUGAGCAAGAAGUAUUUGUUCCCAGCUGGGGUAGCCGGAGUAAUAGGGCCGCACAAAUCUCCAUGGACCAACUCAAGAGCCUUACUUGCUCUAAAGUUUCCCUCUCUAGGGAACGAGGCCCGCCUUUGUUUCCCAACAAGGCAACCGUCGCACACUUGCUCAACAUGAUCGAUGCAAAGUAGACCACGUACCAUCUCCUUUUGUCCAAGUUGCCGAAGAGCUUGAAAAUUUAGAUGACCGUAGCGCGCGUGCCACUUCCAUGCCGAGUCUUCCAUGCUUGACAAGAGACAUACUGGAUCCACACGAUCCAAGUUGAGGAUGUAGAGUCUGUUCGGCGACCUCUGCACUUUCAUGAUCAACAUCCUUUGACGGUCAUACCCCCAAAGAUAGCCAUCUUCGAGCACAAUCUUGCAACCACGCUCCUCAAGCUGGCCGAGACUUAUGAUGUUGCUCUUUAGUUUGGGAAUAUAGUACACAUCUGUGAGUACCUUGUGACCGCCGUUCUUCAGCUCAAACAGGACAGUGCCUCGCCCUGUGAUGCCAACGGUUCGCCCGUCACCGAACCGAACCGUGCCUCCCACCGAGAGAUUUAGCUCAGAAAACUGGUCCUUGUCGCCGGUCAUGUGGUUGCUUGCUCCCAUGUCGAGGUACCACACGUGUCCCGCCGUGUUCGUCCUCUGCUUGUCAUGAAGAUAAACCUUCUCUUCGUUGAGCGUGAUAACCUCGGUAGCCGGCGCCUUUGGAGCUGGACCCACCUCGUCCAUAAGCUCGCAUACUUCGACCAUGAGCAUCAUGUCGCUAUCAUCGCCUCCCUUGGCCAUGAGAGCUCUUUCCUUCGGUGGAUUCUUGCAAUCAGACUUGAAGUGACCGAGGAUUCCACAAUUGUGACACUUUACUUUCUUUAUGUCAAAUUUUCUCCAUGGUUUUCUAGCCUUUUCUUCCUGUCCAGCGAAGUCCUUUCUCGCCGGGCGUUGCUUCUCCUUUGCUUUAUUGCCGCUCAAGGAUCCACCUUGCUUUUCUUUCAUCAGGGCCAUCCAUUGAGCCAUUGUAAUCAUGAGAUGCUCACUCUCCUUCGAAUCGCCGAAGCUGAAACGAAUUCUCUCGUCGUGGGCCUUGAACCUUCCGACGAGAUCCUCGACCUUGAGAGUCUUUAGGUCGAGACAUUGUUCAAUCGAUGUGACGAUCUGGAUGUAGCGUGCAGGCGCGGCGCGCAAAAAUCGUCGGACAAUCGCAACUUCUUCUAGGGUUGAACCAUAGCUGCGUAUGCCGUUGACGAGGGUCUUGAGACGGGCGGCAAACUGAUCAACCGUCUCACUUUCAUCCAUCUUCAGGCACUCGUAACUUCUCAUCAGGGACUGAAGGUGUGCUUCCUUGACACGGUCAUGACCCUGGUGCAGGAUCUUGAUGGUCUCCCAUGCCUCCUUCACCGAGUUCUUUCCGACGGGGUGUUGCAGCACAUCCUUCGGCAUGGCGGAGUAGAUCGUUGUUAACGCCUGACGAUCCUUCCGGUACUUCGACGCGCCCUUUGCGUACUCGGCGCCGCCCGGGUCGACCGCUUCCCAGAACUCAGCUCCCUCCAUCGCGACCUCCAUGUUCAUCGCCCAUAGUGCGUAGUCCUCUAGAUCCAGACGGGGGAAUUGUGAUCCCCCACCAUCGGCAUCGGUGCUCCCGCUGCCGUUGUCACGAUCUCCUUGCCCGUGGUCGACAUGAUCCUUCGAUUGCUUGCCGAGAAUCACGUCAAUACCAAAGCUCUAGAUACCAAUUGUUGGCACAGACCCCUGUACGUCGCACGUAGACGAGUUCUUUCCGUCGAGAGCACUUCCGUUUGUCGAGCCGGUCGAGUACUUUCCGGCCGUACGCAAACUGUACGUACAGAACUAGCCUAAGCUAGCAAGCAGCCAAGCAAGGAGCUUGAUCGAUCUUUGGAGACUAGCUAUACACGUGAACAGGAUACGGCGACUUGAUUGCAAAACCAGGAACGUGUCGGCCCUGUUGUAUAUUGAUGAUUACAGGGGGACUAGGUACAGGUAUAAAUAGUAUCUAUCCUACCUAGCAUCUAGCCGACUCGGCAAAAGACUACAAGUCCGUCCCGGACUAGUUUUCUCCUAAUCGUGAUUAUCUCUAACACCUGUCUCAUCUCUUUGCCAUGUUGUGCCGCCCCUCUAGCGCGUCUCUGUGUUGGAGCUCGCCGUGCCGAGCCGCGCUCACCCUGCCUCGCCUCGUGCCCGGCUGGUGCUGCUGGAGCAGGUGGUCGCGCCCGGCAGGCGCCCCUCGUACAUGCUCGCGUGGGUGCAGCUCGUUCCGGCCAUGGUCAACGUGCACCUGCGUCCCUGCCUGCUACGAUGUUCGACGAAAUGCCAGGACGGACAUGCACAAAAUGAAUCCGCUCCCGUUGGGCACAUCGGCCGACCUAAAUGAAAAGGCGGACACGGAUGAGCCGACGGGUGACCUAAACAGACAAAAAACGGACAAAAUCGAUGUCUGUUUGGGUCGGCCGGUUGGAGUUGCUAUAAGUUUUUGCGAAAUCACUAGUUGAGGAGUACUCGUUGCAAAGAUUACUCCAACUCCCCUGGUUGCGACAAGUGGCGCACAUGGCGCACAUGCAGCGCGCCACUUGUCGCAACCAGGGAGUUUUCCUUUUUUUAAGAUUCGUUUAUUCAAAACGUUUUAUUUCUCAAACCGUGCGUCCAAAUCUCAAACCGCUUUCACCAUUGGAUUCCUCGCGUCGAGAUCUUCAGAACUAGAUGUCAUGUUGAUAGGUUUUGGCGAACUUUUUUUUCACGAAAAAAACCGGACGAAAAAACCGAACCGAGAGCAUGGGUUUUUUUUCCUUUCCGAAAGAGGCACGCCCGUGCUCUCACGCAAUCACAACCGUGCCUCUCGCGAAAGCAAAACCGUGACUCUCGCGAAAAAAAGAGAAAACACGUUUUUUUCCGUUUCCGAGGAAGCACGGCCGUGAUUCUCACGAAAGCACAACCGUGCCUCUCACGGAAGCAAGACCGUGACUCUCGCGUAAGGAAAAAACAGAAAACGCGUUUUUUUGUUUCCGAGAGGCACGGCCGUGACUCUCACGAAAGCACAAAGGUGCCUCUCGCGGAAGCAAAACCGUGACUCUCGCGAAAGAANNNNNNNNNNNNNNNNNNNNNNNNNNNNNNNNNNNNNNNNNNNNNNNNNNNNNNNNNNNNNNNNNNNNNNNNNNNNNNNNNNNNNNNNNNNNNNNNNNNNNNNNNNNNNNNNNNNNNNNNNNNNNNNNNNNNNNNNNNNNNNNNNNNNNNNNNNNNNNNNNNNNNNNNNNNNNNNNNNNNNNNNNNNNNNNNNNNNNNNNNNNNNNNNNNNNNNNNNNNNNNNNNNNNNNNNNNNNNNNNNNNNNNNNNNNNNNNNNNNNNNNNNNNNNNNNNNNNNNNNNNNNNNNNNNNNNNNNNNNNNNNNNNNNNNNNNNNGCCGUGACUCUCGCGAAACACAAAGGUGCCUCUCGCGGAAGCAAAACCGUGACUCUCGCGAAAGAAAAAAAAACUGAAAACGCGUUUUUUUUCGUUUUCGAUAGGCACGGCCGUGACUCUCGCUAAAGUACAACCAUGCCUCUCGCGGAAGCAAAACCGUAACUCUCGCGAAAGAAAAAACAGAAAACGCGUUUUCUUUCGUUUCCGAGAGGCACGGCCGUGACUCUCGUGAAAGCAAAAAGCGUGACUCUCGUGACCCAAGAGGCACGGCCGUGACUCUCGCGAAAGCAAAACCGUGCCUCUCGCGGAAGCAAAACCGUGACUCUCCCGAAGGAAAAAAAAACACGUUUUUGCGCAAUUUUUUUUUGUCGAAAAGCUAAGGAAGACCGGUGAAAAACCAAAACGUAAAAAAAACUGUUUUAAAAGCCGAAAACGCGUGCGAGAAAAAAAUCCGAAGUAAGCGUCCAGAGCGCGACACGUGACGAAUGGCUGAGAGCGUGCCAAAUGGCGCUGAUUGUUGUGAGGCUGUCGAAGGAGUGCUCGUUAACUAGUUGCUUUCAAGUUUUUUGUUUUUGAGACAUUGGAGUUGCUAUUAGUGAAAAAGAAAAAAAAACUUGAAGGAUCCUCGAGCCCAUUCGGCCCCAUCCGGGCGACCUCGCCAAGCUGGUCUGAAAGCUACCUCAUCCAAGAGGCCGUUUCUGUAAAUUCUAGGGCUACUACUAUUUCCAAACGUGUGCGCUCAAUAUUCAAUCCUCGUCUCUGUCGUCUCCCUCACUCGCUGGCGGCGCUCCGUUUCCCCAAAUCUCACGCAAUCCCCUUCUCGCCGGCGGUUUCGGAUUACGCUUUAUACUCCGGUUGCCGGUCGUUGAUCCAGAACACAGAUAUACUCCCUAUAUAUAGUUUAGAAAACCUCUCGUCCCCGAUCCGAGCAAUUUCCAAUGUCGAUGCCGAAGGCUCUGUUUAAGCCCAACCGCAGUCGCGAUGCUCGCUACUCGAUUCGUCGUCGCGCCGGCGGAGGUAGCUUUCUCAUGGACAGGGCGAGGGGCAGUAGCACGAGCGGGGUGAGUCGAUUCCUGCGCCGGCGACGGCAGCUGCCGGCCCUCCGUGACGACCGGAUGAGCGACCUCUCCGACGAUCUGCUCCUCCUCGUCCUCCGCCGCCUCGACACCCGCACGGCGCUCGGCGCCGGGUUGAUCUCCAGACGCUGGGCGCACCUGCCCCGCCAGCUCCCCGCCUUGGACUUCAGGGUUAGCGACAUACUCCCGCCACGCUACCACCGAUGGGUCCUCCUCCACCGCGACAUCUACAGCAGACGCCAGCCCAUGAGCCUGGAGCUCGUGCCUAACAUCAAGAGGUACGAGCGCCGUGCCAUGCGCGCCCUGAACAGCUCCGUCCAGGGCUUCUUGGAAGGAGCUCGACCUCGCUGCGGCGUCAAGAGACUGAACCUCGAGUUCUUCGCCACCGGUAACGGCUACGGCUGCUGCAUCAAUCGGCUCAUCGCGGAGGCCAUUGAUGCUUGGGGCGUCGACGACCUCGAGGCCAUCGCCAAGCCACUGUACAAGCAACAAGACCUCGUCCACGCCUUUCCGAGCCAUGGCCUGUGCAAGGAGCCCCGUGCGUCACGCCUGCAAAGCCUCAAGCUUGGAGGCUGCGUGCUCCCGCCUCUGCACGAGUACAGUUCACUUACCAUGCUCGUCCUGCGAGACAUACCGGAAUCCACGCCCCCGGCCGCCUACGAGGGUGUCUUCACCUCGUGCCCAAAGCUUUACACCCUGCACCUCAUCUCCUGUGGCUGCAGCAGCGACUCAGGCAUACGCUUGCCGGUGGUGGUGAACGCCCCCAGUUCAGAGAUCAGGGAACUUGUUGUGGACAGCUGCACAUUUCGGUGGAUACGGCUAAGGGCUCUCCCCUGUCUCGAGAGCCUAGCCUCCCUGGGAACCAGCAGAGUGUUCUUCGAGUAUACAUCAUUCCCCUCCAUGAGGCAAUGCAACUUCGCACUGCGCAUAGGUGUCACAAUGGAAGGCGCGCGUCAAUACUUUGCGCAUCAGCUGAAGCUGGAGCUUGACACGUUUCUUCGAUGCACACCAAAUAUAAUGAAUCUCAUUGUCCGGUUCACUGGUCCUGACAGAUGGAUCGUGCCGUCUAGCCCUCCCUUGUCAUAUUUGCCUAACCUGAGGCGGCUGCUGGUCGCGGAUGUUCCAUCUUCCUGGGAUGCCACAUGGCCUUGUCUUUUUCUUGAGAUGACACCUUCCCUGGAGAGCCUUCACAUCAACAUUGCCUCCUGCAAGGAGAAGCCCGGUGAAGAAAUUUCCUGGCAGCCCAGCAAGCUUGGGCUGCAUAACUUGAGGGAGUUUGUGGUUGCUGGUUUCCAGGGAACUAAAAGGCAGAUUUGCCUAGUCAAUCUCGUCGUGGGAGCAUGCACAGCGUUGCGCCAUGUUGCCAUGUUCAAGAACGGUCAUGCAAGGGGCAAGGGACUCUGGGACUGGGAGAUGGUUACCCAGCAACAAUCAUGGACGGACGAGGAGAAGGACUACACGCUGAAGCAAAUCAUGGAUGGGGUUUCUUCCUCUGCUGUUCAACUAGUUUUUGGCUGAAUUUUCUCACAUUUCUUACAGGCCUCUCAUUUAGUGCUCCUUAUCCUUCUAUUUAUUCAAUGUAAGUUAUGAUCUAUGACACAAGUAGUGUGUCUCUUCGUGCUUUCCUUUCCUGUUCCAGGCAGUGUGUUUAUUUUCCAAUAAACCUGAAUAAUUUGUGGCAUUAAGUUUUCCAUGUCCACUGGUGUCUCUGUCUAGAAGUAAUGGAUUUGUUGUAGUCCAGGAAUGUUGGGGCGUCACAAUUUUUGAAAACUUCUGUGUCAAAUGCUGGAUCCACCAAGGGUUGGUUUUCCAGGUGAAUAAUGGCCUCCUAAGAGCACUUAUUUGGCAAGAUACGAUGGUUGUGCAACUUUUCAUUGAAAUCUAAACUUGUAUGCAUGAUACUGUGGUCAUUGAUAUCUACUGUGACGUUGUAUGGCACUUGUAUAUAAUGAUGGAUUUGGCCUCCAGAUAAUAUCAAGUUGUUAUUCCUAACAUGUAUGAUGGCUUCGGCUUCCAGAUAAUAUCAAGUUGCUAUUCUGACAUAUUUUUUUUUUGCGGGAAUAUUCCUAACAUAUACGUCAAACCUAGCAACAAAUUCAUGAAUCUUGGUCGAAAAUCCUACCCUUUUCUGUUUGCGGAUAAAACCCGACGGUUUGAGCAGUGUGCUCCAGCCCUGCUUCUGGGACAAGCAAAGGAAAAUUGGCUCCCAACAGAUUAGGUUUGGUUCAAAUACCUCACACCCUGAAAUAGCAUUGAUCGAAUAGAAAAUCUAAAGGAUGAACGUCUUUUAUUCGAAACUAAAGGGAUAAUGGAUACAAAGGCAUUUUGAUUUCCUAUUGCAUAGAUGCCCUGGAGCUGUACAAAACACACCAGCCGAUUGGCUGAGUUCUAUUUGUUCACACCUUUCCAAUAAAAAAUAAAAAACUGUAGAUACCAGAUUAGCUGUUUCAUGUGAAAGAGAAUUAUUGCCUGUUCUCGAUGCUUAUACAAGGAUGGGAAUUGUUCAUUCUAGGGGCUAUUGGCAUCAUCAUUUUCUGUUCAGUUAAGACCAUAUAAAUAUAUAUGAACUAGCUGUAUUUCAUUAGACAAUAAUUUGUGUGCUUGUGCGUGAUUUUGCUUACAGUAUACGAGACAUCAAGAAGUGUAACAUAUUCUUUGAUGACUUGAUAGGUCAAGAUAUGGUUUCUUUGAUGCGAUAGGUCAAGAUGCCGGCCAUGAACUGAAAUCAAAGGCUGGACCUGGUUUCUUUGAUGGCUUGCAAUAGAAAAUCCGUCACGCCAUAAUAGUGUUGAUUUUAUUUAUUUAUACCAUCUCCUCGUAGUUAUGAUAGUACCACAUAUUAAGCUGUACCAUUCAAAUUUGUAUCUCCGUUUUUCUAGAGUUGAGGGUUAGUACUUGGAAAAACGUCAUUCAAUUCAUAACAUGUUUAACAACAAAUAGUUAUUCUUUUGCUGGGAUAAUACCGNNNNNNNNNNNNNNNNNNNNNNNNNNNNNNNNNNNNNNNNNNNNNNNNNNNNNNNNNNNNNNNNNNNNNNNNNNNNNNNNNNNNNNNNNNNNNNNNNNNNNNNNNNNNNNNNNNNNNNNNNNNNNNNNNNNNNNNNNNNNNNNNNNNNNNNNNNNNNNNNNNNNNNNNNNNNNNNNNNNNNNNNNNNNNNNNNNNNNNNNNNNNNNNNNNNNNNNNNACAAUUCAUAUCUUAUUUUUCUUUUGCCGGGAUAAUACCAAUCAUAUCAACCUUGGAAAAACAACAAAUAGUCAUGACAUAGUCUUGCAACAAAUUUAUAGAUACAAUCUAUCUCGGUGUUAGAUAUGAUUUAAUUAUCAAAGCAUCCUUUAGAAAAACAACUAAAAUCAUAAUUAAUCAUGAUAACCUGAUUUUAUGGCACUUUUCUAAGGUUGGGAGCAGCGGUAGCACCUUGACAGUUAUAAUUGUGAGAAUUUUCCGGGAGAUGGAUUAAUAUUUCCACAUCAUAUCAAGACAUGACAACUUAAAUUCACAACAUUACAUGUAUCUGAUAACCAGACAAAUGAACUACUCUGUAGAACAAGAAAGAGCAAUACUGGUACAUUUGGUGCAGGAAUCCCCUCUUCAAGAAGAGAACAACAGCGGGCUCUCCAACAUUCCAAGUUCGCAGCCCUCACAGAGUGCCUGGCCCACACAGGCUCGCAGCUAAUGACAUUCCAAGUUCAUUGUAUUGGUAGAUUGCUUAUUAGAUUGGUUGGAUGAUGCACCAGCUGGAACUAGAUAACAGAUUCACCAUGCAAUAGAUCUUGGUCAACUGUUCUGAUUCUGCCUGGCUGACAUGUUAGCCAUGUCUUCAGCAGUAACUGGCUUGUGCAUCUGCAUGAACAAGAAGCUCUAGUUAGGGCAAUCUGAUAGAAUUUCAAAAGGUCUUUCAGUAGAUACCUACUACAUGUUACCGUGCCUAACCAGCUGACUACAUGAAAGGAAUAUCGACCAAACAAAGAGACAUCAUGUUGAUCAACUGUAAGCUCAGCACAAGUACGUCCAGGAACAACACACUACAGAAUCAAUCACAAACAAUAAUGUUUAGUUUGUUAAGCAGUGUCCAUUGAACAGUCAUGAAGAGUAGAAUGAAAUGCAGAAUUACUAACAUGAUCAAACUCACUAAGCAAGGGUAGAACAUAACUUAUUCACCUUACCCUGACUAACAGGGUCAGUAGUCGUCUACCAAAUAUUUGGGGUGAGAAUUCCUUAUUUAACACUGGCCUAAAACUUUUUGCCCUAUUUGACACCGAAAUCUUUUUCUUCCUUAUCUAACACCAAUUCUAAAAUUUGUUCCCUUUGUAACACUUCCGUCCAUUUUGACUACUAACGGUGUUAAAGGGCACCUGAAAAGACGAUUUUACCCCUCAUGCAACUUGUGACAAAAUUCAAAUAGCAUUACCUGCUAAUAGGUCGUUGGCCAGUAACAAGCAGCUCUGGAGUCCAAAAAUAAAAACAGGUCACAAUUUACACUAUCCUACUACAAACCUUGUUCCUUAACUGAAGCAUAUAACAGACUAAUUCAAAGAGAGUUUUGAUAUAGAUUUUCACAGGGAAGUAAGAAGCAUCUUUAUAGAGAAAUAAUAAGCAUUUUCACAGAGAACUCAUAACCAUUUUCACAGAUAAAUAAAUGCAUGAAUAACCUGCAAUGUGAAUAAUAGUGCAUCAGCAUUAGAGUUAAACCAGAUCAAUAACAGAGUAACUGAAUAUUUUCAGAUCCAUAACAUUUUCAGAGAAAUAAAGCAUCACAUAACAGACUAAGCCCUUUCCUGAGAGGAGGAAGAGGAGGGCGCAGACUUGUCUUUGUGAGGGCUAGCACUGGUCGGUGAAGGUCCCGGCGUACGAAGCUGUCAGUGGCCGUAGCAACGGGGAAGGCAUGGAGCGGAUGGAGUCAGGGGAUCAGGGAUAUGUUCACCGGCGUCGGCAGGGACUUGAGCCCGCUGCAGCCGAGACACCGCCACCUGCCGAAGUCGCGCGCUGGCCCAACCCCUCCGCAGCCCCACCGUCGCCAUCGCUCACCAACGGCUGAUCCGCAGCAGCGCCGAGGUCGGACCCCCUCAGCAGAGCGCCGUUCCCAUCCGCAGCACUGCCGCCAUCCAUUACCCGGAGUCACCGCCGCCUAUAGGACUAGGAAGUUCGCCACCGCCGCCGCCGCUAGGGUUGGGAGAAAGGGAUGAGAGGCGCGGGUCGGGAGAGAAGAGAGAUGGCCGGUUCGGUCUAUUUUUUUUUUCCAUUUUCUCAUGCUUAUUAUUACGGGCAGGGGGCAAUUUCAUCCAGCUACAGAAAACUAACAUUACUCCAUGCAUCUUUUAACGGUGUAGGCUAACAGAACUAACGGAAGUGUUAGAAAGGAACAAAAUUUACACUUGGGUGUUAGAUAAGGAAGAAAAAAAAUUCAGUGUUAGAUAAGGAAACAACAUUUAAAAGAGUGUUAUAUAAGGAAUUUUCUCAUAUUUGAGGGAUGGAGGCUAAGAGGGUGUUUGUUUCCAGGGACUUAUUGGUUUAGGGACUUAAAAAAGUCCCUAUAAGUCCCAUCUAAACCAAACAGGAGGGACUUAUAGGGACUUAAAGUGGGCAUUUGGGACUUAUGAAAUAAGACUCUCCUUGAGAGUCUUAUAGGGACUUAUAGUUGUAAUAUGGUCUUUUAGUCCAUGUUAAGUCCCAGGAACCAAACAGGUAGGGACUUUUUAGGGACUUGGGACUUAUAAGUUGGGACUAAAAAAAGUCCUAGGACCUAUGAACCAAACAGGGCCUAAACAGCACAGAAGCAUGACAGCUCAUCUGCUAAAAAAUGUAUUAAACAAAUUCUGGCAAAAAAUAACACUCACUGCAUUCGCAAUGGUUAACAUAGUCAAACUCACCAAGCCAAAAUUUUGUCUAAUGUACCUUACCCUGACUAACAUGGUCAACAGUCAUCAACCAAAUAUUUUACUAUGUAUCUUACCCUGACUAACAUGGUCAACAGUCAUGUACUAAAUAUUUUAGGGAUGCAAGCCAAACAGUACAGAAGCUUAACAGUCAUCUGCUAAAAAAUAGAUAAAUCAGAUUCUGGAAAAGAAAAGAUAAAACACUCACUGCAUUCGCAAUGGCUAACCAAUGAAAGCACCGUGGGAGAGGAUCCUCCGCUGAUGGCAUGGUAUCAUGAUUCCAGUAAGUUAUGUUCUGGAAUUCUGCACGGGAUACAAAAUUGCUAGCCUCCUCAUCCAUGCCCUGAGCAUCCUUUUCUUCGUUCUUCUUCUUCUCCAAUACAGAACCUACAGGUAAGCUUCAGACCACCAAAUUCGAUUAACAUACAGUAAGAUGGUGCCAAACUCAGGCAUUGUACAGAAACAUGGAAGAGUAGAGUGUGACCAUGUUAGGAGCUAGGGUUCUGCCGGUUCUAGGGCGGAGAUUGUAGGGGAAAGAUGGAGGAAGACGAGGUCGAGGGCGCGGCGGCCGGAGGCUGGGCGCCGUCCUUGCGUGGUGGAGAAGAGGCGGCGGCGGCGCAAGAGGCGGCUAGGGUUAGGUCUCCCGGCUCCCUAAGGGAAGCCGAGCAAAUACUGAUUGCUUCUUGCUUGAUUAGAUUGAUACAUCUCCUCUUCUUAUAUAGAGAGGUUUAGUUGACUCCUAAGCAAACGACCCUAAUAACGAUAAGAUAAUUGGGCUAAGCCCCUAAUAACGAUAAGAUAACUUGGGCUAAGCCCCUAAUAUGCCGGUCAUAACACUUCUCCCCGCCUGCACAAACAGCUCGUCCUCGAGUUGUAAGGCGGGAAGCGCUUGCUGAACUCCUCGAGGUGAUCAACCAGCGUCAAACACCUCCGCGACAGCUGGGGCGGCCAGGUUGCCGAGCCCGGCGGCGACGGCGUCCUCCUCAAUGUAGUCUGCAGCCUCCAGGUAGAAGAGUCGGGGGCAGACGUGGCCGGGCAUGUAGGCCUCGUCGCGGUUGAAGCACAACCCUUGGCGGCGACGCUCGAGUAGCUCGGCCGAGGUGAGCCAGCGGAACGGGCGCGCCAUGGUCGCGGCAAGGGGUGCCGCGGAAGCCUGAGCAGGCCGACCCUGCGCAGGAACAUCCGGCCAGGGUGGCGGCCCAGCGGCCCGGGACGGUGAUGCCUGCUGGAUGGCCACCGCGCGGCGCUCGAACGCGCGGGCGUAGUACAUGGCCGUCUGGAGGUCCUGGGGUCCCUGCAGCUCGACGUCCACGCGGAUAUGAUCUGGCAGACCGCCGACGAAGAGUUCGGCCCGCUGGUGAGCCGUCACGCCGGACGCGUGGCACGCCAGGGCCUGAAAGCGGUCGGUGUAGUCCUGCACCGUAGAGGUGAAGGGAAGGCGGCCCAACUCCGCCAGCCGGCUCCCACGUAUCGGCAGUCCGAAUCGAAGGAGGCAGAACUCGCGAAAACGCUCCCAUGGGGGCAUGCCGCCCUCGUCCUGCUCGAGGGCGUAGUACCACGUCUGUGCGGCGCCGCGGAGGUGAUAAGAGGCGAGCCAGGUGCGGUCCGACGCGAGCGUCCGUUGCCCCCGGAAGAACUGCUCGCACUGGUUGAGCCAGUUGAGGGGGUCCUCGGCGCCGUCGUAGGUGGCGAAGGCGAGCUUGGCGAAGCGCGGCGGUGUCUGAGCAUGACCGCCGUGAGUGUACGGCUCGGCGGUACGGAGCAGCGAAGAGGAUGGCGUUAGUCCGGUGUGCACAGGUGGUCCGCAGGAAAGCGGUGGCCCGUCGAAGCCAGCGUGGAAACCCGCGGAGCCGAAGGGCCCGUCGUACGGCUAGGAGGGCGCCGGCUGGUCCGCGGCCAUGGUGUAGACUGGCGGCGGUGACGUCCCGGCCAACCAGGCCGGAAGCUGGGACAGCGAGGGCAGGAACCGCACGUGCUGAAUCGGCAUGCCCGCUGGCGCGGUUGUAGUCAGCUCGGUGUUGGGCGGCAGAGGCGCCGGCAGCUGCUGCUGCCUGGAAACGGCGGAGGCGGCGGGCGUGGCCAUCGCCGCGGCCGGCCAUUGUGGCCAGAUCGGGGCGGUGGAGGGGGAUGGCUGUAGCUGCAGCGAGGGCUGCAGUGGCCCGACCAGCGUCGCGAUGGCCUCGGGGUGCGGCGGCUGCCAGGGCGGUGGCAGCGAGGACCCGGGUGGCGUGGGUGACACGGCGAGGGCCGGCGCCGGCCACUGCGGCCAUUGGGGCGCGGCGGCGGGCGACGGUUGAAGCGGCCAGUGGUGGUGUAGAGGCCCGGUCAGCGCCGCGGGUGCCGAAUACCACGGAACCACGGCAGGGCAGCUGGCCCGGUCGCGGCGGCCGGCGGCAAGGGCGGCGGCGGCGGCCCGUAGGGGCCGGCUAGGUAUAGCUGUAUCCCCUGGACGGCGGUGACGAGAUCGUUGAGGACCCCGGUGAUCUCCGCCGGGGAGUAGACGGCAGCCGGUGGUGCGGUGGAGGGCGCCGUAAUCUGGGUGGUGGCGGCGCCGGAGGAUGCGACCAGCGGCGCGGACGGGGAGGGCAACGGCGUGGUGGAGAAGGCCAGCGGCGCAGUGGUGACGGUCGGCAGCGGAAGCGACGGGAUGGGCGGCGGUGAAGACAUGAUCGGAACUGAGCUACCUGAUACCAGGGUGUUAGGAGUUAGGGUUCUGCCGGUUCUAGGGCGGAGAUUGUAGGGGAAAGAUGGAGGAAGACGAGGUCGAGGGCGCGGCGGCUGGGCGCCGUCCUCGCGUGGUGGAGAAGAGGCGGCGGCGGCGCAAGAGGCGGCUAGGGUUAGGUCUCCCGGCUCCCUAAGGGAAGCCGAGCAAAUACUGAUUGCUUCUUGCUUGAUUAGAUUGAUACAUCUCUUCUUCUUAUAUAGAGAGGUUUACUUGACUCCUAAGCAAAAGACCCUAAUAACGAUAAGAUAAUUGGGCUAAGCCCCUAAUAACGAUAAGAUAACUUGGGCCACAGCCCACUGGGCUAAGCCCCUAAUAUGCCGGUCAUAACAGACCAACAUCAUAUCAUACCAUCACUAUAGUCCAGAUAUACAUUGUUAUAUAUGCAAACCUAGUAUCCCUAGACAAAUUUACAUUCUGCCAGGAGUAAGGCAUGUCAGAUUCUUGUUUCCAUGCAGGUUUGAUACAAGAUAGUAAAAUAGUAAAAGACCAUGUCACAAUUCAAUGGCCGUUUCUGUGGUAAGCUAAACCGAAUUUCACGUUCCUUGCGUAGGUUUUCAUUAUAAGCACUACCCUGUUGAAAUGAAUUACGCCUAUCUAAGUAAGUACACUUUGGCACAUUAUCAGGCCAUGAUUCAUCUUUAAAUAUUCAGAUCUCAAUGAAAAGCAGUAGCGCGCACAUUUCUCAUAUAUGGAUAGAAGGACAGCGUAAUUCCAAGAGAGAAGUUUGUUUUGCGCAGUUUUUCAAAUCUGUGCCAGAGCUUCCAAAUUUAAGUAUCGCCACCCUUUCCACCGAACAGAAUCAGAUCGCCGGAGCUCACCUCGGUAGCCAUCGGGGAGCGCGACGGUGGCGCCCUGCAGGUUCCUCCCCCGGAAGAAGGCCUCCUCCACCUUCACCCCGUCCACCUCCACACCUGCGCGCACGCACGCACGCACCCACCAAUUCGUCAACCAAACAGACAGAAGGUAGACGGAUGAACGGAGAGAGGAGGGGAAACGAGCGAACGGACCAGUGUCCCUCGGCUUGAAGUAGUCGGAGACGGCGGCGGCGCUGUUGUGCCUGAUGCCGCAGGGCAGGAGGUGCACCCGGCCGAGGUCGGUUGCCGCCGGGGAAAGGUCGAUGCCGGCGGCGGCGGGCGGGGUGGCUUGCUCCAUGGUUGGGUUUGGGGGUUUCAGAGCAGUCGCCACGUCCCGCGCUGGUGAACUGGUGGUCUCUUCGUUGGUUUGGGCGGCACCCUGGUGAGCAGAAUAAAGAUGGGCCCCGGUUCCAGAGGCCCACGGUUCAUGCAAGCCCGCGUCUAUCCUUUUUCUUCUUAUAAAAAACAGAGAAAGGCCACAGCCUCUUAGUCCAGAAGCCCAGAAGCUAUACACGCAGCAAGCUCUUCCCUAAAAGAAAAAAAGAAACCGCAGCCUCUCGAUGGCUACAUGCCGCACGCCUCUCGUUUGUACUGUUUGAUUCCCCGACUAGACAACUUCUCGUUUCGUCUCUCUGUUCGCCCAUCGCGGCGUCGCCCGAUCCCAUCGGCAAGCCGACGCCGGGCAGAUCGGCCGCGGGAAGCCGAAGCCGGCAAUUGCUGUUCAAAUUGAAGGCAGAUAUAAGUAAGGACAAGGUGAAGAGAACCAGAGCUAGUAUAAGUUAGGACACGGUGCCACCGUAGGAAGGGGUCGAUUCCCCCUGGUAUACUCGUGUUCAUCCUUUCUCCCGAGGCAAUCCAACCAAAAGGCAGGAGUAGGAUUUCAUACAGCAAGGUGGCCCGAACCUAGGUAAACUGUCGUGUCUUCGUUGAUCCUCCCUAGCUCGAGCACGCCGGAGCAUUGCCGUGAGUUUGUGAGUCGCGAGGCAAAGCGUAGCGGGUACAUCAAGCAUACCCCACAGUUCAAACCUUGUUGGGUCCCCGGAGCUCCGAUUCCAACAGCCGCCGUGACGACGAGGUCAGAGCAGAAAAGCCACAUUAGGGCCAGCACCGUCGCUGCCCCAGCCCCGAUUGGCAAACCAGCCACCAAAUCCGUCGUUGACCGCACCAUAGGAAGCCACCAGAGACAGAACCAAGGCAUAUUUAUUGGCCGCCGCCGCCAUCAUCAUUGAAAACGUACUAGCGGACGAGCACACACCUAGCCCUAACCUAUCUACACUACAUCGACAAGAUGGAGAGGCUCCUCUCCCCUCCCGUCGCCAGAGCGGACGGCGAAGGAUGAAGAAACCCCUCCUUUCGCUCAUGGAGAACGCUGGCAGACGGUUCGCCUCUGGUUCCGCCCCUGCAGGAGAGGGGAAAGCAGAACUGGCAAUGUUGUAAAUGGACUGGCCUUCUAAACAAUAGGUUUAGGGUUACAAUUAACCAGGAUCGAUGAGCAUAGGGUAUGGACUUUAGAGCAUCUCCAACAGGCACGCAAAAAAAGCGUUUACAGCGCCGUUUACGCGAGUUUUUGCGUGCGGCGGAGCGCUAGCUCCAGCGGCCGCUGCAAAAUAGAGUGCGCGUAAGCCGCUCCAGCAGACGCGCUAUAUUUGUUAUUUUUUAUACUACGACUCAGUACACAUAUAGGCAUAGAGAGAUUGAUAGAUAGUACAUAGAUAAAUUAAAACGAUAGAUAAACGAUACAUAGAUAGUGUAUAGAUAGUAGCCUCCUCCUACGAUAGAUAAAACGAUAGAUAGAAAACUACUCGUCGUCCUCCUCCGACUCGGACUCCACCUCGGUGAUGUCGUCCUCCGACGUCAUAAUGAAGGCGUCAAGGAACCGAUCAUCCUCGGAGUCCCAGGACGACGCUGCUCCUAGCUCGAUGUUGAACUGAGCGGCCGCCUUCCGCGUACGCCGGUCCUCGCGAUAGGCGGCUCGCUCCGCCCUCCUCUCCUCCCUCUCUGCCCUCUUUUCCGCGAAGAACUGCUGCUCGUUGAUGACGUCCUGCGGGAAGCGUUGGCGCCACAACGCCAUGGCUUCCUCGUCCAUCUCGUCGAGGCUGAGACGACGCUCCCGCCUCCGGUUCUCGCGACGACCCUUGUCGGUGAGAAGCCGCGGGGGAGGCGCCAGCUCCUGUGCCAUCUCCCGCGUCGACACCUCCGGGGAGUUCAUAUCCCGGCGAGACCGCGAGAGGCGCCACGCCGCCGCGUCGUACGUGCGGGCGGCCUCGUGGGCGUUCUCGAAGGUGCCGAGGUCGAGGCGCACGUCGCCGGACCGAAUCUCAACGGAGAAGGUGCCGGACGGACGCGCGCGGUAGCCCGAAGCUCCCCGGCGGCGCGGCGGCAUGGUGGCGCGGUGGUGGCACGUCGGCGGCGAGGCGAGAAAGCGGCAGAGGAAGUGACGAGAGAGCGGCAGAGGGCGCGUGGCGGGCGCUGCAUUUUAUCGGCGCGCCGGAAGCGGCACGCCAAAUCUAGCGCGCGACUGGCCGCUUUUUUUCGCGCGCACGAAACCGUUUCCCGCCUACGUUGGAGCACGUGAAACCGUCCCGCGCACGCUAAAAUCGCAUUUUACCACACACGCGUUUUUUGCAGCCAUUGUUGUAGAUGCUCUUAGAGAUUUAAAUGUCGGAGUUCAUUUGCGUCGCGCUCUACAUGUAUAAAACAGACUUCACUCCGGACGGACCGACAGUGCGCGUGCGCGGCUGCGGGGCGCUUCAGGCGAGUCGGAAGUCAGUCUCGCGGGAAGCGAGACACGUAACUCGCGCUACCCCUCAAAAAAAGAAAAACUCUCGCGCUGAAAUCUGGCUGUAGCGAAUCCUGUGGAGAAUCAAUAUUGCUGGUUCGCUCGAUCAUUGGGCCUAACAACACAUUCCUUGUGUUGUGUAUACGAUAUUUAAACAAUCCGGCUUUGCCUCAAAAAAUAGAAAAAACAAUCCGGCUUGGAGUCCAAUCCGAGUCCGAUCGUUGCUCUAUGCUACUCUAGUACAUAGUGGUUGAUUUUCCAAGCCUUUUGCCUGCCCGCGCACCUCCCGAGUCUAUAUAAACAGCCUUUGCCUUGCCGCUGAAUCAUGUACGUACAACCACGAUGCGUUCCUUUCGCGACGAAAUCGGCUACUGGCGCAAAUUCCUCCCCUGGUACCCAUGGCCGUUUAUCAUGAUCCUCCUCGUGGCCGCCUUCUUGGGCCUCCUCGUCAUGUUACGGGUCAAUAGCUCCUGUGUGACGUUUUUCAUGCGAAUUGAAAGGAGUGCGACGUUGUUGGAAUGAAUGGCUGUGAUGCGACGUUUUAGAAACAAACAAUAGCUCCAAUGCGACAUGGCUCUGUUUAACCAUGAAAUGAAAAACACGAGGGGUUAGCGAUUCGAGUUAUGACACGCGGGACCUAGCAGUUACUCGCAUGCGGGUGGGACCCACAACUUAUCCACGCAAGCAUGCCCGUGCUCAUCAGCGUGCCCCGACCUGAGCCAGCCACGAGCCCGAGCCAGCCCACCCCACCCCCCUCCAUUGCUUGCCCUGCCCCUUUCCUUUCCCACCUUCUUCUUCCUCUGCUCCGGCAACGAAGCGCGCCGCCGGCGAGUGAUGUCUAGCUCGACUUCGGCCUCCCGCCAAUCAUGGACGCAGUACGGUCCACUGCCGUUGACAAGAUGCCCCGAUUGCCCGCGCAUGGAGCCUCUGAAGCGUUUGACUUGUGUGAGGGAAGAAAAUGGCAACCGUGGGCGCGAGUUUGUGAAAUGCUUGAGCAGGCCACAGCCGGGGCAGGUUAGAUCUGUGUUCUUGACCAAUCUUAUGGUCUAAUUUCUCCCGAUUUCUUUCUUUUUUCCUCGAAUUAGGGCGGUGGAUCUGGGUGGUGGAUCUAGGAUUCAUGCGCCGCCGGCCCCCUGUUUUUCAGGUUCUGAAGAAAUGUGGGCAUUUUGAGUGGCUCGAUGACUAUGUUGAAAGGUUGAAAUUGGAGGGAUCAACCGGAACCCAAGAGCUCAAUUUUGGGGGGCGGCUUGCCGUGGAACAAGCCCCCAAUUUGGCGGACAGAGCCAAUCCGAUGAUGCACAGUGCAGAACUGAAGUGUGAAUUGAAGAAAAUUGGCAAGCAACUAAAGCAUCGGAUCGAUUUGAAGCAGCAAGCAAAUAUGAUGGCUGGAGCAUUUUAUUGUUGUGUCAUUGCUAUGGGUUUAUUUUACUUGAUGUUCAUCAAUCGCUAGAAUUUGUUAGAGUUUCAGUUAGUGUGUCAAAACUAGUUUCAGGGGUGCCCAGUAGUUUGAGUUAGCCAGGGAUCAUUUGUUAGAUGAAUUUGAAUUAGUGUGAAGCAAAACUUGCUUGAAUUAUUGUAAUGAUAUUCUCAGGGGCCCUAUUCAGUGUUCAUGCUCUGUUUCCUCUGUUUUUGUUCUUCAGUUAACAGAGUACACACCCAAAUUCAGUUUCUAGUAAAAAACAAAACUGGGCUGCCGAAUAGAUGUUGGGCCGUGAGAAAAUGGGCCGUGAGAAAAUAACCAUGCCCAAGACCAGCCCACCCGCGUAGGGACACCAGCCCACCUCUAACUUCGGCAAAUAAAAUGGGGCCCAAUAAAAUGUUACUUGUUUUUAUUUUGGCCUUUUUCUUGCACUAAAUUUUGUGAUGGAUCAUUUUUUGAUGCACUAAAACUAAAUGUUAAUUGUUUUUAUGCAUGUCUACAGUUCCAUGAAUUAAAUGAGUUGCAUGCUUGCAUGAAGUGCCCGAAGUAAAUUAGUUUGCAUUUCCUAGUUGCACCCAUGUCCAUAGUGGGUUUGCAUUUGGCUCCUAGUUGCAUGUCCAUGGUUUGGUCAAUAUUUUGAAGAUGGUGUGUGUGGUGAUUGGGGAGUAGAAACCCGGGCCCGUAGCAACCCAUAGCAAUACACGAAUAAUAAGCAAAAACAACCCAUAGCAAUCCACAAAUAAUAGCACGAAACACACAAUAUAUAUAGUAGCAUAACGAUUAUAUAGAAGCAUAACGAUUGCAACCCAUAGUUCCACGAUAGCCUUACAACUCCAUGAUAGCCUUACAACUUAAAGUACUAAUAAAACUUAAUAAUAGUAGCAUAACGAUUACAACUUAAAAAAAUAAUACGAUAGAUCUAUAGCAAGCUAGAUAGAUAGGGGGGCACCAAACGCGGGUUCUUCGGGUUCUUCUUCUCCUCCUCCUCCGGGGCCACCUCGCUCCUCCGGGCGCCGCCCUUCACUCCUCCCCAUUGUUGAUGGGGUACAGGAGCGUGUGCAUAACGCCGUUGUUGGGGAAGAUGCCGUUGAAGUCGGUGAAGAUAUUGUAGGUUGUGAAAGCUAUGAACUCACAACCAACCCAAUACGCUCGCCCGAGGAGAUGGAAAGCAUCGAAAGGGUUAGUGAACGUGGCGAGGAGCCCAACCACAACGCCGUUGUGGUUGACCUCCUCAAGAUGGUACAUCCGAGGAGAGCCGCGGGGGAGGUGGCGGAAGCCGGCUGCAAGGAAGAACUCCGUUAACUCCCUUGCGCCCCUCCACCUCGAGAUCGCCCAAACCCUAAGGGUUCCCUCUACAUACACUCCGGCUGGGUAGAGCCUUUCCGGCACGGUUGGGGGGAAGCGGUAGGUGGGGGCAUUGUACUGCAUGGUGGCGGGGUGGCUCGAGGGCUCGAUCGGGUUUGAUGGAGAAGAAGGAAGAAGGAAGGCAGAGGAGGCAGAGGAUGGGGUGUGGAUGAGAAGGGAGAGGAAGACGAUAGUGCCCGGCUUAAAUAGCCCAAGUGCGACGUGGUUUCACCCCGUAGAAUUAAUGGGCGGGCGGUGUUUGGUGGCGCCCCAUGAAAGUGUGUACACAAGCGUGGGAAACGGGCUGCGAUCCUUCUGUGCCACCGGUCACGGGUCAAGGGGGACGGGCUCACGCACGCGUCUGUGCUGUCGUGGGUCAAGGAGACACGCCUGCCCCGGGUUCUCUGUGUGUGCCGCCUGUGCAUUCAUUUGCCCAUCGAUUUGGUCGAUGGGAGACGUGAAAAUAAUGGACGCCUUCAUUUGCCCAUCUUGUAACGGGCAACACGCCGUUUGAACUGCAUCGAUACCCACAUCGAUACCCCAUGCCAGUAUUGCGUCCUCAAAGAGGAGCACACCAUGUACAACACGCCAUGCAGCGUUGGCUUUUUGGUUGUCUUCAUUGGGCUGCUGCAUUGUGGCCGGGUGCAUGCUUUGAUGCGACGUUGCAUCAGUUCUAAUGGUAGGCAUGCGACAGCUUACUGCAUCGAUAGGGGUGGCGGAGCAGGGCUACGUCGAGGGCAUGCAUGCAACGCACGGGCGUAGUUCCGCGGGUGGGCAUGCAUGCUGCAGGUAGGCACGGGCACGCAUGCAACGAUGGAAAGGGCACUGCGUAGGCUUAAUCCAUGCACCGCGUCAACUCUUGCCGUUGGAUUCAAAUGAACGGUCCUGAUGCCCCAACGAGAAAGGCUGAUCCAAACCCCACCGAUUCAACCAAUCAGCGCGUCUCAUGCGGAUCGAUGCACAUUGAUUCAACCAAUCAGCGCGUCUCAUGCGGAUCGAUGCACACUGCAGCUAACCCUAGCGCCUGAUCUCAACCGUCCACGCACAACGAUCGACGACCCGGUAGUGUGCGGGGUUUUGAGGGGUUUUGACUGAUUAGGGUUGAGCAUAACUAAUUCAAAAAAAAAUCAAAAAAAUAUAAAACUUGCGCACAUAGUCUUAUUAUGUCGUAUAGUAACGAAAAAAAAUAUCAUUUACAUACAUUUUUACGAAAAAUCCUUCACAAAAUUGUCAUUCCUCGAACAAUGUAGUAUGGAGUUCAAGGGAGAGAGUAGUGGGCACCCGAGAGUAGGUGGGGUUUUGAAAAUGAAAAGUGCGAAAACCUCAUCAAAACUUCAUUUUGGAUUGACUAAGAAAGAUCUCAACUUACUUUUCUCAUUUUCAUGUUUUAAACUUGUUUUAUAUAUAAUUUUCUAUUAAACUUUGUUUUUUUUAAAAAGAAAAUAAUAGAAAAUUAAUUCAAUAAAUAGUGAGACUUUAGAUUUACACUAUAUAGGUAGAAUAGAUGUGUAAAAAAAUUAUUUGGCUGGUAGAAUAGAUGUGCCAAAAAAACUUGCUUAAAUAUGAGGCCGUUUACCCUACCUUUGGAGGUCAUUUGAGACACACUUUUCAUGACUAUGAGUUCAACUUACCAAAAGGGCUCGAAAUGAUCAGCAAGCAAACAUAUUUCAGUUGAGGUACUUUAGAUAGCAUUAAAAUAUCAAUACCCCAUUCCUAAUUUAAAUUUGAGCCCAAAUUUGAAUUUUAUUUGGCUGGUUUAGACAAGGUACCAACAAACAAGUUCGAAUAGAAAUACGGGGAUACAUAGUGACUACCAGUACGCACCAAGUUACAAAUAUUAUUACAUGCCCCAAAUUUUCAAACUGUUCUCUGUUCUACCUUUUCCUACCACGUCGUGUGCCUUUCUUCGCCUUAGCACUUCUUGUUUUUGGUUCUACUACACACACAAGUUCACUGAUCAUCUUGGUUUUCUUCACUGGUCUUUUCAACACCUCGCCAACACCCUCGUGAUCAGUGUCUUCAGUCUCAAUGUUGACAGCAGUUUCAGUUUCUUCGGUGUGUACCUCAACAUGGGUUUCUUCAGUCUGAACCUCGACACGCUCAGGUUCAGUUUCAACCUCGAGAGCAGUUUCUUCAGUCUGAAUGUUGACUGCAAUUUCAGUUUCUUCGGUGUGCACCUCCACAUCAGUUUCUUCAGUCUGAAUGUUGACUGCAGCAGGAUUUUCUUCAGUCUGCUCAGGCUCAGGCACACUUCUCUUCUUUCUACCGCCAUUGACUUUUGUUUUUUUUGUUGGCCAACACUGUUCAACAACAAGAGGCUGACUUGCUCGCUUCCUCCUGGCCAUUGGGAAAAUGUUAUAGAUAUAGUAAUUAGAAAAAAGCACCAAAUCAAAACACAGACAAAUAAACAAGAACAUACUUUGGCUUAUCAGGAGUGUAACGGCAUUUGACAGAUCCCACUCUGUGCCCAAGUUCCUCGCACAACUUGCAUCUGUUUUUGUUACCUUUUUGGGCCCUUUUUGGCUUUCCAUCUUUCUUUCCCUUCUUACUACUCCCACAUUUCUCAAACCAUGCCUUGAAUCUACUCUGUUUAGGCCUGCCAGCCUUUUUUUCGUCAAGGGAGGACACAUGGAAAAUUCAAUGUCCACUUCAGGCCACUGAGACUGAUCUGUAAGUGCUGAAAUUGGAGUAGCAUAUGCAGCUUUGAAUCUUUUGCUACCGAAUAAUAUUCAUGCAAAUAUGGGUGCAUGUUUAUCUUCGGUUGGGAUGCUAAGAAGAGAAUGGCAUGCUCACAUGGUUUACCAGUGUGUUGCCACUCGAGGCAAGUGCAAUCAUGCAAUUCAGUGUUAACGACAUGUCUCCUUCCAGUUUUGUUAUCUCUAACUUCAGCACCCCAAGGUGAAGAUUUUUCAACAAACAAAUGUGAAAGACAUCUGCUCCUAUUGACCACCUGUUGUACCACUGCUGGAAGCUUAUAACCUUGCAGACAAUCACCUAUCCUUCUUCUCAAUUCCCACAACCGCAUGAGCAUGAUCCUGAUUUGGUCAACCAUGUCAUGCACAGGCAAAUCUUUUAACCCCUUCACCUUGUUGUUGAAACUCUCUGCCAAAUUAUUGUUGAUGUGGUCACACUUGAUGGCAGUGUUGAAUGCUGACCUGUACCAUACCAAAGAAUGGUAGGUGUUCAGCCAUGGACCAAACUCACCACAUGCUGCCAUUAUCUUAUCAAGAUGAUAUUUGUGUGUCUGUCUAGUGUAAGAUCUUGCUGCUGGCCACAUGCGCCCAAAUUCUUCUCCUCUAUUUUUUUUAUCAAAUUCAUCCACAAAUGACCGAAGCACUCCCUCUGCUCAGCAUGUGGGAAAACAUUUUUCACUGAAUUUUCAAGCCCCUUACAUGCAUCUGUGUGUAUAGCCAAAGGUGACACUGGCCCUAGGCAUCUUUUCAACUGGAUCAUGAACCAUGUCCAUGAAGCCUCUGUUUCUGACUGAAACAAGCCAACAGCAAUAGGAAAUAUCCAGUUGUGUCCAUCUAGAGCAUUGCAUGCUGCCAACUGACCAUUCCACUUGCCUGUCAAAAAUGAUGAGUCUAUGCUCAAAUAUGGACGGCACCCUGCUUUGAACCCAUCGAUGCAAGGCUUCAAAGCCAUAAAAAAACUUGGAGAACUUGACUUCACCUUCGGCUGAUACCUCUGUAUCUAUCUCCACAACACUGCCAGGUGACCUCUUUUCCACCUCUGCUUUGAAGUUGUAAAGCAUCCUAAAUGUAUUUGCCCAAUCACCAUAUAAAAUUUUCAUUGCCCUUUGUUUUGCCUUCCACACUGUGGUAUAUUUCAGUUUAAUGGGGUACAUCUUUUCCAAGUCUACUUUGAGUUUCUUGGCAGUAGUGUUUGGUGUUUUGGCUAAAAUUGGGGUGGUCUUUUCUGCAACCCAAAGUUGUGAUGUCAUGGUUGAUACUCUCUGUGAACUUGUAAUACAAGUAUGUUGAUUGGGAUUUGGUUAACCCUGACAGUACUUCCAUCAGGUUGCAGUCUAGCAGAUAUGUACCACUUGCAAGGCUUCACACUACCAUCAAAUCCUCUGCACCUCGCAUAAAACUUCUUUCUAUCAGUCCAAACAGUCUUGGCAUCAAACUCAUGUUUCACUGCAUAAGUUUUGAAACAUAUCCUAAACUCCUUCAUGCUUGGGAACAAUUUGCGUACUUCAAUGACAGGGUUUUCUUUGUCAUACACAUGCACCAGCUCAUCAUCAUGUGCAUCAUCUACUUCAUCUGCAGCUUGUUCCAUCAACUGUCCAUCUACUUCUUCAUCAGCAUUAGCAGGCAAACUAGAUUCGCCCCUCUCCUGCUUAUCUCUGUCAUCGACUGGAAUGCCAAAAAGUUUGGCCAUCUCAAUGUCAGGCAUUGGUGCAAUGACCAAAUCAGUAGGCUCAUCUAAUUCAACUACAUUCCAAUCAACAGUUGCUGCAGUUUCAGUUUCAGUUCCAGUCACCUGUCCCUCUUCGGCUAUUACUGUAAGUUCAGUACACAUGGGAUCAAUGGCCUCUGUGUAGCCCAAUCAUCAUCUAUCAUCUGCGCAGCCAAUUGUGAUGGCACAUAUCCAACCUUCGAAAAAAAUGUUCAGAUCAACGAGCUCAGCAAAAAAAUUAGCCCGUUUGCUUGUCCAGCCGUUUUGCCGAUCGAUUUCUUCAACAAUCUGUUCACCAUCUUUUAUUCUCACAUACUCUCCUUUUCAAUCGUCAAACCGCAACAGUGAUACUUCUUGCUCUAGUCCCCAAACAAUAUUCUAAUUUUUUCCACCCAUUUCUUCACUGUCGUCUCUCCCAUGUUCUGUAGAACUUGUGGAUCAAUCUCUGUAAACUCAACCUCCCAUUUAACAAUUGUGUCUCUCUCAAUGUUCUGUAUGCUACCAUCAACUAAUUUUGCCUUUGAUGGAAAGAAAUUGACUGUCAAUUCGAAGGUCCGAGCGGCAGCAUCCCCUCUGUCAGUGGCGAACAGUGUGAGCCCGUGAGAAAGAGCAGACGAGGCCACCCCCUAAUUGCAUGCAAAAUUGGAUCGGAGAGAGGCGCAUUACCUAUUCGAAGUUGAAUCUGGCGGCUCCAUCUCAGUAUGCCCACGGGCUCCCCUCACAACCUAUCGAUUCCACAAGCGAAAACAGAGGAAACGAGCUGAGAUCUACGGGCCCGAGAGAGGAACGGGAGGGUGACUAGGGUUUGAAUUCACUCACCAUUUUCUGAGGACGAAGGCUCCGCCGCCGUUGAGAACGAGGGCUCCGCCGCCGCCACCGAGAACGCAAGAUCUGCCGCCACCGGAGAAGAAGGGGGCAGAGUGGCGGGCCCGGCACGGUCGGGCGGCAGGGCACGGUCAGCUGUUUUGAGAAACAAUUAAGUUGGACCCACAUGUCCUAACAUAAACGGGCGGGCUUGGUUGACGACCAAUUUAACCACAUUUAACACGCCAUGUGGCCCUGGGCUAUUUGCACGCUCAAAUGUGUCGCAUCACAGCCAUUCAUUCCAACAACGCCGCACUCCUUCCAAUUCACAUCAAAAACGUCGCACAUGAGCUAUUGACCCGCACGUUACUCACCGCUGUCCGCCCCGUCCAUGUGGCCGUGGAAGACGCCUCCCUCGCCCGCCUCGCCCUCGCCGGGCCCAAUGGCACCAGGCUCUCUUACGAUGUGUCCCUUGCUGUCUCCGUGCACAACCGCAACUGGGCCAUGCGCGCCGUGCUCGGGGCUGACGCGCCGCUCGACGCUGAGCUCUUCUUCGCCGGCGAGCACUUCGCCCGCGUCAGGAUCCAGGGGAGCUCGCGCCGGUGUAUCUGUCCGGGAAAUACCGAGGUCUACAAUGUCGUGGCGGCGGGCGAGGGCACCGCGCCGCUGAGGAGUGCCGGGGUGGCAACGCUCGUGAAGGAGAGUGUGGCGGGUGGCGGGUUCCGGCUGGAGCUGAAGCUUGCCGGCGAGGUCAGGUACCCGCCGCACCGCACGCGCAGGCUGGAGGCCACCUGCCCGCUCAAGCUGCCUCUGGCGUCGCCCGCGGGGCAGGCAAGGUUCAAGAAGGUCGAGUGCGUGGUGUAAUCAUGGAUGACGAUGUAGCCUUCUUCAUCUUAGUAGGAUGGAAGUUAUUUAUUCUUUGUGCCUUCCCGUUCUGUCAAAUUUGUGUGAUGUGUACGGUGUGUGCAACGAGCCGUUCCCCACGUUUCAUUUCGUUUCUUGCAUGGCCAGCAGCUCGACGUCUCCUCCCAUGCUCCGUACCCGCUCUAUCACGAUCAUAGCCUGCAUCACGGGCGCACGCAAAACUCUUCAUCAGAAACCCAAAAACCUGAUAUUAAUCAGAUCUAAGAUGCUUUUUGGAUGUUUUUUUAAAAAAGAAAAUGUACGGGUAAUUACUUUCUAAUUGCUGCAAGCAGCAUGCUAAACAUGUCUUAAUUUCUGAACAUUACCUCUUUCUUCCAUUUGGCUCUGAUCUGAAGAGGAUCACAAACGGGAUCCCGGUCUGCAGAAUCGUGCCCAUCAGCACCCCACCCAAAUCCUCUGUACGUCAAGCUUGAGCUUGAAGCCGAAAACCGCUGCGAGGUGCAGGCCCACAAAGUGUUUUUUACGGUGCUGAGUCAACCUGGCAGUCGGGUCGGGUUUGCCCGGGUCGAGGUCUACCAAACCCAUGCCCGAUUACUAAAUGGGUCUACCCAGUCGCCCACGACCCUGCCCAUGGGCGAAGGAUCAGACCCACGCCCGAACCCGAUGGGUUACCCAUCGGGUUGCUGUACAGUGUUCUUGUACAGUGUACAACAGAGUAGUGGCAAAAUUCAUAUAACAAAUAUUGGUUUACACAGUAGCAAAAAUGCACAAAUAGCUUCAGUUACUAACCAUCAAUGUGAAUAUAUGAUAGAACAAAUAGAAAACACAGUAUCAGGAAGCCAAAUACAAGGUUCAGGAGCACAAAUAGCAUCACAAAUACAUGGUGCAGGUCCCAGAAGCACAAAUACAAGGUUCAGGAGCAGAAAUACAAGGUUCAGGAUCUUCAGGUGCACAAAUAGCAGCAGAAAUACAAGGUUCAGCAGCAGCACAAAUACACAAAUACAAGGUUCAGGUUGAGUAGUUGUGUGCCAACAAGCUAGCACUAGCAAGUAGUAGUGUAGCAGCCCAUGGAUAAAUGUAAAUAGCAGCAUGUAGUAGUGUAGCACGCCGGGUCGUCGGCCUUCUCGUCACAACCAAGCAGCAACAACACCAUCAUAGAGUCAUGUUUCAGGCUUCGGUUAAGAUGGAUUGAUCAUCAACCUCCUGAAACAUAAGAAAGUAAAAGCAUUCAAAGUAAAGAACAAGAUUUGCAUUAAAAUCUAAGAUUAAAAGGCAUGCUAAGUUGCUAAAAGUAGAAUAUGUUACCAUCAUUUCUGUGUCAUCCUUAAGAACAGUUUCAAAGUCCGCAAAGAGAGUAGAAUUGCAAUCCCCUGAUGCAUAGAUUUAGAUAUUAACAUAUAGCAAGGAAAUAAUAUUGUGUAUGGAAAGAAGAGUCAUGAUUCAACUAGAUUAUUACCUAACAUGUCUGCACGGGACCAAGCUUGCAUGCACAUAAGAGCUUCGGUCAUGUUUGGUGCAGGUGAACAUCUAUGUGCACUUAGUAUUCUCCCACUAGUACUGAAGGCAGAUUCCGAUGCCACGGUUGUUACAGGAAUGGCUAGUAUAUCAUGAGCCAUUCUUCGCAAUGUAGGAUACUUGAUACCUCCAAACUGCCACCAAUUGAUGAUGUCAAGACCCUCUGGCCUAUGGAUAAUUUCCUCUUCCACAAAUAUAAGUCCAGUUCUGUCCGCACACGAGAAGCACUCAUAACAGGCUUCGAGGACAUAUAUUGUUUAAAAAUAUUCUCCAUUUCAUCUACUGCAGCCCCACCUUGGGUAGAAACACUCCUACCUACCUGUGACUCCGAGGUACCCACACCACCAUCAGAUGCUUGAUAUUCUAGCAACAGAUCACCCAUUAACUUUCUAAUUUUCUCCACUUCUGCAGUUGCAUGUUCAAACCCAUAGAGAGAGCCAAACAAAGCUUGCAACAUAUGAAGCUUAUAUCUUGGAUCAAGGACUGUUGCCACAGACAUAAGACCAUGGACUUCUUUCCAAUACUUCUCAAACUUUGUCUUCAUUUCCUCAGACAUCUUUUGCAAAGGAACAUGCUCACUAGUAGACCAUUUUCGUAUUGCUAGACGAAUAGAAGAUAUUUUGGGGAAGAACAGAUUUGCUGUAACAUAUUUAGUCCCUGAGAAUAGCUCGGUGAUCACACAAAAUAGCUAGUUCAACACAUCUCUCGGCUAUUCUACACUUCUACUGUUGUGAACCAAAUAAAAAGGCUGGGAACCGGGAGAAAGAAAUGAGAGUCACCUUGCAGAGACAGAGGAUGGCGGCGGUGCUGCUCCGGCGUGGUGAUGGCGGCGGUGCUGCUCCGGUGACGUGAAGCCUUGGAGGAAUACGAGAUGGAGACGACGGCGGUACUGCUUGCUGGAGACGGUGGCGGUCAAGCCUUGGAGGAAUACGAGAUGGAGACGACGGCGGUAGUGCUUGCUGGAGACGGCGGCGGUGAAGCCUUGGAGGAAGAACGAGAUGGAGACGACGGCGGCAGUGCUUGCUGAAGACGGCAGCGGCGGUGCUUGGCAGGGGAUCCAGCAGCCGACGAGGACGGAGGUGGCCUGCGGUGGGGAUCCCGCGUCCCGUGAGGAUGGAGGCGGCGGGGAUCCUGUGGCCCGUGAGGAUAGCGGUCCGGGGAUCCGGCAGCUUGCGGCGACGGGGAUGGGACGGUGGGCGGCGACGGCGGCUUGCGGAUGGGAGCGAGAGAGAGAGAGUGCGGCGGCGGCGGCUUGCGGAUGGGAUCGAGAGAGAAUGCGGCGGCUAGGGUUGUGGAGGAGUGGAGUGGAGGACGCGAUUGACCUCUCUCUGCGACUCUGCCUAAGCCUAAGGUGCUAGCUUACUGGAUUGGGCCGGGGAUGUUGGGCUGGCACUGGCAGCCUGGCACUGCGGGAGGCCACUACUAUUUAGGUGGGGGUCCACAUGUCAGUUAAUCGGGCGACCCAUCGGGUGACCCACGGGCAGGACCUCGCACCCAUACCCUACCCAUGACUAAUCGGGUUACCCAUUGGGCUUACCCAUGGGUGAAUAUGUCGACCCAUACCCUACCCAUUAGGGUCGGAUACCCAUGGGCGCGGCCGCCCAUGGGUCGGAUUGCCGGGUUGAGUGCUGAGACCUACCGGUAAUUCUCUCACCAAUGUCUUGCUGCCAUGUGUAAAGGUGUGGGGCCACAUGCAUGUGUAUAUCAAAGUAUUGAUGUAAAUAUUUUUUUUGUAUUUUUGUUUUAAGUCAAAUCAAGGUCAGAUCGAUGGGACCCAUGUCAGGUGAGAGAGACAGUCUAUCCUGACGUUGCAUGUCGUGCCAUGGUACAAAUCCUUUCCUUUUAUUUUCUCUUUAGGAUUUUCAAUCAUUUCUAUCUUUUAAACCAUAUUGUUAUUUUUGAAAUAUUUUAUAUAUUUGAAUUCUUGAAGCCAAAAGCUUUAGAAUAAGACCAAAUUUGGAUGCAUUUCAAACAUGUUUUAAUUUCAACAUUUCAAAUGACUAAAAUUGGGUUUCUGAAACAAGCCAAAUAGGUAUUUUGAAAUAAUUGAAUUUUUUUUCAUUGAGUGAAAUCAAUUUUGAAAUAUGUUUUCUCAACUGAGUGAAGUAUGUUCUCUAAACCGUGUGAAAUUAUUAUUUUUAGACGAGUGAAAUUUGUUUUCCAUACACAUGCACAUAUUUCGGUGUGAAAUACGUUAAAUAUAGUGAAAUGUGAUUUCUAAAAUGAGUGAAAUCUAACUUUUGUAAACGGGUGUAAUGUGUUUUCUGAAUCUAGUAAAAUGUGAAAGUGACUGAAAGGUUUUCUGAAACUAGUGAAAUGUGAAACUCACUGAAAUCCAUUUUCUGAAAUGAGUGAAACGGUUAAAUUCAAACUAGCCAAACUGGUUAUUUAAAAUAGUGAAAAUGAGUGAAAUCUGUUUUCUCAAUUUAGUGAAAUUAUUUUUCUGAAACAAGUGACAUCAGUUUUUUCAUAUGUGAAAUCAUUUUUUUUAACAUAGUGAAAUGAGUGAAAUCAGUUUGAUGAAAUUAGUGUAGCCUGUUCUUUGUAACGAAUGAAAUAUGUGUUUUCAAAUAUGUGAAAUUGGUGUUUAAAUUUAGUUAAAUUUGCUUUUUUACACGCUGUAAUACGUUUUCUAAAAUGAGUAAAAUUGUUUCUGUAAAUGAGUGAAAUAUGUGUUUCGGAAUAACUAAGACCGGAGUUCCAAAAUGAGUGAAUUCCGUUUUUUGAAAUGAGUGAAAUCACCUUUUUGAAAUGAGCGAAACCAAUUCUUUGAAAUGACUUAAAUAUGUGUUUCGAUACGAAUGAAAUCAGUGGUCUAAAAUGAAUAAAAUUAGUUUUCUAAAAUGAGUUAAAUCUUUAUUUUUGAAUGACUCGUUUUUUUUCUUAAUUGCGAAACCAGUUUUUUUAAAUAAAGUGAACGAGUUUUUUGAAAUGAGUUACAACCAAUUUUUUGAAAUGCCAAAGCGAAUGAAACGGUAAAAUUCAAACUACGCUAAAAUAUAUUGAAUAUUGGUCUUGUUUUAAAGAUCUCGUCUUUAGGAAUUCAAAUAUAUAAAAAGAUUUAAAAAUAACUUUUUUUAUUAAGACGAUAUAACAAGAAAGUAAAAUAUUGGUACUAUAUGUUGAGUGGUCUGAGAGUGCACAUGCAUAACUAAAUGAAAAGGUUGUGAGGCAUGUUCAAGUAUUGGUUCAGACCAGUAUAGAGAUGUAUAUCAUCCCAGAAAAGAUUCCUUAGUUUAUUAAUCAAAGGACAAUAUGCAUCUCGAUGUUGACAUGGACAGCGGAUGCUUCAUGGUACAUCGUAGUUCCUGUUAAUUUACUUAUUCGGUGCAGGCCAACGAGAUAGUAGCAGCCGACACUCAACAAGGCCACCAAGGAUUGCAACCCAACCCAACACCAAUAGCCACUCCUGAAAUCACACACGCACAUAAGAUUUUUUUUCUUUUUAAAAAAAUGAGGAAGACCCCAACCUCUACAUCUGAGCGAUACAUGCAACCACUUUAUUAAUUAUUUACGAAAGACCUUACAAAGAAAUACAGCAGUAAGUCUGAAGCCACCGUCUAGACAACAUCUGUCGUUACUUCUAUCCAGUUAAUAAAGGGAUGUUGAUAGUCCGCGCCUAAUACCAUACAGACCUCACAGCCAAGCCUAACAUCUAAGACCUAAGGCCCCUUCCAAGCCACUUGCCGGAUAUGGGACACACUCCGGUCCGGCGCACUCUUAGCAGUCGCCGCCGCCAACUGCCACCACUCCAUCUUUAGAGAUGUACUGACGCAUCAACAUUGCCCCGCUCUAGCUGCCGUCGAUGCCACCAUGCCGCUAGACAACACCACCAUCCUGCACUCGUCCAUCAACACACGCCCAGCAGCGAGACCCCGCUGCUCCAUGCCGCUGAGACCCGCUGUUAUCAACGUGUCAGAUGCAACGCCGCUCCUCCUUCGCGAACACCACCUGCUGCCACUGGUCCCAUUCCCUCCACCUGUAGAUCCUCUGCACUCCCAACCGAGCCCUAGUGCCCUUGACGACACCUCCAGGAAGGUCACGACGCGAACAGCGCCGCUGCCGCCAAAUCCGAAGAUGAUUGAAGGCUUUCACUCGAUCGGGGAUCGGGUUGGGUAGAUUGGGCCAUGAGUUGCGCCUUUAUGAAGGAAAGCGGCGUCCAUGGGCGUCGCCGCCGCCGGGCCGGCCAGGCCGGCCAAGGCUUCCCCCAGACCCAAAGUACACCACCAUGGCUCACUAUCACCGAAGCCUGCAGCUGCAAACCACCGGGACGGAAAGAGAGGCGGCAGAAGAAAGGGGAACCUCCAGAUCUGACGCUACGGAGCACCGCGCCACGACCGGACUACACCAGCGACCCGCCGCCCGCGCGGCCAAGCACGCUGGCCAGCGCCGCCUGCAGACGUCGCCAGCCGCCGAACGACGAUGGCUCACCGACACCGUCGCCCAAGGAUCCGCAGGACACCAAUGCGAUACUCCGGCCCACAGGCCGACGUGAUCGAUGCGGGCGCCGGGAUCCCUGCCGCCACCUUCCCUGGCGCCCACGCGGGCUUUGUCUGCGGCCGUCUCUGAUGGGGGCGAGGGAGGGAAGGGGAUGAGGGGAGGUGGCGUGGCCAAAGAUCUGAUCGCCCCCGAGUCGCCCGGGAGGGCGACGCGAGGGUCUGUGCGAAGCUGAUGUGUGAUAUGGCACUAGCUGAUAAGCGUCACGUCCCUUUCGGCUUGCGUCCGGUGGCACACACGCACACAAGUGACAUCGCCAAUUUGCUCUGAACAGAUUGACGUACUUAACAAAAAGCGUGAAGCUCUGGAGGAUGAUGCAUGUAUUUACGUGACAGCAACGACCGGAUGCUGUUGAGGAAUAUGGUGGCAGCCAGAAGAUAGCCAGUCUUGCAGUCUCCCUGACGAGUAAGUCGUCGUCGGUGAAAAGCCCGCCACGAGGGCGACCAGCGUGAAGAUAGCCCGAUGGUGGCCGACCUGGUCACGGCCACCACGGCCGAUAACUUGGCCGCUUUCGGGUGUCUGGCGCCAAGCUCGUUGGCACAAAACCAAACACUAGAGACAGGACAGGUGAGAGUCAUUUCUUCUGCUGUUUGAGAGCGCACAGAAAAUCAUCAGAGUCAGAGGAGACGCGCGCGUACCUCACUGCGGCAUUGCAACCGAAUGCUACCGUCAAUGUCCAGAUGUUGUAGUUCAUGUUGUUAAAACAAAAUUCGAGCAAGCAUCGGUAGAGAUUAUGUAUGUUCAUUUCAACUUUGAGUGAAAAGCAAAAUCACUAAAAACAGACACUGUGGCAAGAGAAAAAUUGACAGGUGCACUAACCAUAUGAUAACGGCCCCAACUUGAAUCACUGGGUGGGCAAUUUGGUGCCAGAGAAAUGGAACUUUUUUCAGAAGUGAAGCACACAGUGUUAGAUGCUGGAAGUUCAGACUAAAGAAAGAUCUCAGUCUGGUGAUUCAUAGGAUAAAAUCUAAGCAUCUAAGCACCUUGCAAAAGUGGAUUAAGGAUCAUCUAGAAUGAUGCCUUUAAGAAGUAUCUAGAAUAUUAUUUAUUCACAUAUUGAAAAAAGCUGGAAUAGGAUUUUUUUUAGAAAUGGAGGAGGACCCCCGGCCUCUGCAUCUGGACGAUGCAUACAACCACUUUAUUAAUUAUUCACACAAGACCUUAUAAAGUCAUAUAACAGUAAGACUGAAGCUACCGUCUAGGCAAGAAACUGUCGCCACUUCUAUCCAAUUGAUGAAGGGAUGCUGAUAGUCUGGGCUUAAUACCAAACAGACCUCUCAGCCAAACCUAACAUCUAUGACCUGAGGUCCCAACCAGGACGCCUGCCGGGCAUGGGGCACCCACCAGUCCGGCGCACUUCUCAACCAGGACGCCUGCCGAGUAUGAGGCCGCCGCAGCCACCUGCCACCAAUCCAUUGUAAGUGUUGUACUGUUGCAUCUACCUUGCCAGGUCUAGCUGCCAUCGACGCCACCACGACGCCAGACAAUGCCACCAUCCUGCGCGAGUGCAUCUCCGCGCAUCGGGCGCCGAGUCUCUACUGCGCCACGCCGCCAAGAUCCGCCGCCAUAAAUGCGCAAGAUGAAACACAGCUCUUCCUCUUGCCCCCUCCAGCCAGCACUUGCUCCAAAACGAUGCCCCCAGGAGGGAGAACGACACCGAAAGCGUCGUCAUCGUCCGAUCCGGUAGACCCAGAUCUAGGGUUUCCCCCAAAACAUCCGGAUCAGGUUGACGUGACCUGCAACGACGAUGCCUCGAGAAGGGAAUGACGUCCGAGACGCCGCCAUCGUCCGCUAAGACUGCAGUCAGGCGCGAUUUUCACCGGAAGCCACGUCGUCCCGAUCUCUCUCGGCUGGCUGGAACCGAGCGGAGCCUCGCCACGAAGACGUACGCCGCCAUCAGUACUCCGGCGAAAAUCCGUCAUCUCCUCAACGGUCCCUCCACGCGCCGCCGGUCGGUGCAAGGCCACCCCGCGGCUGAUCCGAUCAGGGCGUUGGAUCCGCAGCCACCGCCGUUGUGACGCUCCCGAUUCAAUCGUACACUAAUCAUGCACGCAAAUGUGUACGAUCAAGAUCAGGGACUCACGGGAAGAUAUCACAACACAACUCUACAACAUAAAUAAGUCAUACAAGCAUCAUAAUACAAGCCAGGGGCCUCGAGGGCUCGAAUACAAGUGCUCGAUCAUAGACGAGUCAGCGGAAGCAACAAUAUCUGAGUACAGACAUAAGUUAAACAAGUUUGCCUUAAAAAGGCUAGCACAAAAGUAGCAACGAUCGAAAAGGCAAGGCCUCCUGCCUGGGACCUCCUAACUACUCCUCGAAGCCGCACUCCAUGUAGAAUCAUCCUCGGGAUCUCUAGCUCCUGUACUCCAGCAUCUGGUUGCGACAACCAGGUAUAGAAAGGGGAAAAGAGGGAGAAAAGCAACCGUGAGUACUCAUCCAAAGUACUCGCAAGCAAGGAGCUACACUACAUAUGCAUGGGUAUAUGUGUAAAGGGCCAUAUCGGUGGACUGAACUGCAGAAUGCCAGAAUACGAGGGGGAUAACUAAUCCUGUCGAAGACUACGCUUCUGGCCACCUCCAUCUUGCAGCAUGUAGAAGAGAGUAGAUGGUAAGUUCACCAAGUAGCAUCGCAUAGCAUAAUCCUACCCGGCGAUCCCCUCCUCGUCGCCCUGUUAGAGAGCGAUCACCGGGUUAUAUCUGGCACUUGGAAGGGUGUGUUUUAUUAAGUAUCCGGUUCUAGUUGUCAUAAGGUCAAGGUACAACUCCGGGUCGUCCUUUUACCGAGGGACACGACUAUUCGAAUAGAUAAACUUCCCUGCAGGGGUGCACCACAUAACCCAACACGCUCGAUCCCAUUUGGCCGGACACACUUUUCUGGGUCAUGCCCGGCCGCGGAAGAUCAACACGUCGUAGCCCCACCUAGGCUCAACAGAGAGGUCAGCACGCCGGUCUAAAUCCUAUGCGCGCAGGGGUCUGGGCCCAUCGCCCAUUGCACACCUGCACGUUGCGUACGCGGCCGGAAGCAGACCUAGCCUAGCAGGCGUUCCAGUCCAAUCCGGCGCGCGCCGCUCCAUCGUUGACGUCACGAAGGCUUCGGCUGAUACCACGACGUCGAGUGCCCAUAACUGUUCCCGCGUAGUUGGUUAGUCCGUAUAGACCAAAUGGCCAGACUCAGAUCAAAUACCAAGAUCUCGUUAAGCGUGUUAAGUAUCCGCGAACGCCGACCAGGGCCAGGCCCACCUCUCUCCUAGGUGGUCUCAACCUGCCCUGUCGCUCCGCCACAAAGUAACAGUCGGGGGCCGUCAGGAACCCAGGCCCACCUCUAUCGGGAUGGAGCCACCUGUCUUUUCAGCCUCCUCAUCAGAAUCACUUGCGGGUACUGAACGAGCUGACCCGACUUUAGUCACCACAUGUGUCAUGUAUAUAAAGUAUUUAGUAUAUACCCGUGAUCACCUCCCUAGUGAUCACGGCCCGAUAGUAUAACAUGGCAGACGGACAAGAGUGUAGGGCCACUGAUGGAACACUAGCAUCCUAUACUAAGCAGUAGGAUAGCAGGUAACGGUAACAACUAUAGCAACAAUGACAGGCUAUGCAGCAGAAUAGGAUUAACCGAAAGCAGUAACAUGCUACACUACUCUAAUGCAAGCAGUAUAGAGAAGAAUAGGCGAUAUCUGGUGAUCAAGGGGGGGCUUGCCUGGUUGCUCUGGCAAGUAGGAGGGGUCGUCAACACCGUAGUCGUACUGGAUAGCAGCGGCGUCGGUCUCGGUGUCUAACGGAGAAGAAGAGGGGGAAGAAAACAGUAAAUACGGAGCAAACACAGCAUCACAAAACAUAACAAGGCAAUACGUGGUGCUAGGGUAAUCUAACGCAGGGAUAGGUGAUACCGGCAAAGGGAGGAAACAUCCGAGAAAGUAUUCCCGGUGUUCCGCGUUUUCGGACAAAUGAACCGGAUGGGGAAAGUUGCGAGUUUGCUAUGCUAGGGAUUUGUGGUGGACGAACGGGUUGCGUAUCCGGAUUCGUCUCGUCAUUCUGAGCAACUUUCAUGUACAAAGUAUUUUCAUCUGAGUUACGGUUUAUUUUAUAUUAAUUUUUUAAAGUUUUAAAUCAUUUUCCAAAUUAUUAUUAUUAAAUUAAUUUGAAAUUAGUAUUAUUGCAUCGGCAUGACGUCAGCAAUCAACAGAGGUGUUGACUAGUCAAACUGAUGUGUGGGUCCCGCAUGUCAUCGACUUAGUUAACUAAACAGGAUUAGUUAAUUUAAUUUAAGUGAUUAGAUUAAUUAAUUAGGCUUAAUUAGAUUAAUUAACAAGAUUAAGUAAUUA
rnacentral:lncRNA from 1 species